AGACUUGUACUUAUAAGGAUGCUUUGGUGGUGAUGGUGGUGGAGGUGGUGGGGACUUGUACUUGUAAGGGUGCUUGGGUGGUGAUGGUGGUGGAGGUGGUGGAGACUUGUACUUGUAAGGGUGCUUGGGUGGUGAUGGUGGUGGAGGUGGUGGAGACUUAUACUUGUAAACUGGAGAUGGUGGGGGUGGAGACUUGUACUUGUAAGGGUGCUUGGGUGGUGAUGGUGGUGGUGGUGGGGACUUGUACUUGUAAGGAUGCUUGGGUGGUGAUGGUGGUGGAGGUGGAGGAGACUUGUACUUGUAAGGAUGCUUGGGUGGUGAUGGUGGAGGAGGUGGUGGAGACUUAUAGUUGUAAACAGGAGUUGGUGGGGGAGGAGAUUUGUACUUGUAAGGCUUCUUGUGUGGUGGUGGUGGUGGAGAGUAGACCGGAGGAGGCGGUGGUGGAGACUUGUAAUGGUAAGGUGGUGGUGGGUACUUCUUAGGUGGUGGUGGAGGAGAAGAAUAAGUGUAAUCUGCUGAGGUUUCAAAAGGCAAAUUGAGAGACACUGCUAAAACUAAAAGAGUGAGAAAGAGAGAGGUCAUUGAUGACCCCAUUUUCCCCAUCCUUACUUCUAAAAAUGGGUUUAAUUUGGUUAUGCUCUUAGCAGCCCUCUUCACUCCCUUUAUAUAGACUUUGUUUUAAAGUUACAAUCAUGAUAAAAGUGUGAAGGUGGACCGAACCUUCAGCAGCAUUGAAAAAAGACGUUACGUUUAGGUUAUUAGCAUGGUAUGACAUAAUAAUUCUCUAUUCUCUUCCUUGUCGUUUCCCAUAAAUUUAAUUUAAAUAGUCCAUUUGCUAUAUUUAUAUUUCUGUUUCUCUAUUAAAUAUUUAUCAAAUUCAUUUCUCACUCCUUAUAGAAUAUGAAUAAUUAAUCAUUAAACUCGAUUUAGUAAAUACUUUAAAAAAUGAUUUAUCUUAUUUUUAUGCUUUAAUUAAGGCAUCAAAUCAUUAAUCCCAUUUGAUAUUAUGAAAAUUUAUCACUUAAUUGAUCAAAAUGUGAUUCUUGGCAGGAAAACAUAAUUUACUUUCCUUAAAAUGUAAUUUUUAUUGAGAGUUAUUUUUCCACUAACAAUAGAAAGUGAUUCUCUUUAUAAUUCGUGAAAAAAUUACUUUCACAUGUAAAUAAAAAUUGUUAGGAUAAAAUUAACUUUUCUUUUAUUUAUGUUAAGGUUACUAAUUAACUUAUUCAACUUUAAUAAAAGAUAAACAUAGUUGUAGCUUGUUUGUUGAUGUUAGUUUUUUGUCUUUACAACUUCAAACCAUUAUUCUAGUGUAAUUUUUUUUUCUUUCUAAAUAGUAGAUAAGUAUCUAUAUUUUAUUUUGCUAUAAGAAAAUUAUAUUUUUUAGCAUACAAAACUUAAGAUAACUUGUAGAAUCAAGUAGUUGUAUACCUAUUACUCUAGCAAUAAUAAUAUUGACAUUGUCUACUUUCAAAUUAAAAUUUCAAAUUAGUUCAUUGCCCAAUUUUCUCAUUAAAAAAAAUUAUAUAUAACAUGUCAACUUAACGAAACUUACAUGAAAUUUUGUAUGUGUUAAAAAUGAAAAAUAUGGCGGUUAUUAAAAAAGAUGUCAUACAUCUAAAUCAAACUACUAAUUUAAAAAUUAGUAUUGAGAUAAUUUCAAGCCAUAUAUGCAAUAUUUGAGUAUACUUGAACUUAUACAUACAAAUUAGUGAGGAUUAAAAUUUUGUAAAUUGUACAUCUUCACAAUCUUGCGUUAAUAUACAAUUUUUUUAAUGUAUUAAUAUAAUGUUUUAGAUCAAGACGUGAAAAAACAUAAUUCAAAUAUUUGUUAAUAGUAAAAAAUUAUUAAUAAAUAUUUAAUUCAAAAUUUAUUAAUAAUAAAAAUUAUUGAAAAAUAUUAAAUACGUUAAUAUUAUUUUUAUUUAAUAAUGAUACUUUUGUACAGUAAUCUUAUAUUCCCAAAUAAGUGUUAAAUGUGUCAAGAUUUUAAUCAAUACUUUCCGGUGAUUACCAAACGUUGUGAAGUAACUUCUUAAACAAUAAUAUUCUUAUCAAUCACAUUCCAUUAAAAUUUUAACAUAGAAAAGCACCAAAACGCCCCCUUAAAAUCGUGGUAAGUCUUGUUUGUCUAAAAUUUAAAUAUUUAUUUUAUUAUUUAAAAUAUAUUAAUUUUCUAAAAAAAAUCAUUAAUAUUUAUAUUUCUAAUUUUAAACAUUCUUUUGUUAAUUAAAUGAUAGUCUAAACGGUUAAACUCAAAUCGAAAGCAUUUUAUCUUAUAUUAGAUUAUAUGAAUCAUAUUAUGGUUGAAAGUAAAAUGUAUAAAAUCAAUACAAACAUCAAAUAUUAAACUUCCACUCAAUAGAUUUUAAAAUUUCUAAUUUUAUCACUAAUCUAUUUUAAGAUUUUUUUAAAAAAAAUCGUACUUUAGAUUAUCUAAUUUAAAAUUUUAUAAAAUUAUUAAAAAAUAUUCUUGUAAUAAAAAAAAUUUGUUUUAAAAUUUUUAAUUUUUUAUAUAACCAAUGAAUUUUUUACGUUUGUUUUAACUGGUUAUCUAAACAAAAUAAAAACUUAUUUAGUUUAAAUAAAGUGGUAAAUGUGAAAGCACCACAAAUCACAACUACAUUAGUUUUAUAAUUGGAUUAAUUUAAUCACCGGCAGAGGAAAUGUGUUAGUUCUAGCUACCAACAAUUCAUUUUAAUUCCUUUAAAAAUAUUAGAAAAAACCAAUUUGAUUUUUAAUAAUAGAUCUAAUUACUUAAAGGAACAUGGGUGAUGUGCACAUGGCAUACAAGCAUAAAAAAGAACAAAAAGAUUAAGUAUCUUUGCAAAAUAUCUCUCUCUGAAAUAAAUAAAACUUAAAAAAAAACAAUUUUAUUAUCAAAAUAAAAAGAAAAUAGUGUUUUUCUUCACAAAAAAAGAAAAGAAAAGAAAUACUAGUGUUUUUAAUUAAAAUAGAGUGAUCUGGGUAGAAUCUUUUACUUAAAUACUGACAUUGACUUUAUAAGCUAUUUUUUAUCAAAAGAAGAAAGAGAAAAGCAUCCGAUUGAAGAUGUGAAUUAUUAAGUUAAAAUUAAUCAUACAUGUAAAAUAUUAUUGUGCUUUUUUCUAGCCCUCCGAAAGACAUUAUGCUUUGAUUACAACAUUCUUCCUCAGAGAUGAGGUUUGAAGAUGAACUCGGAUGCAUUUAGAUUUUUACAAGACGAAAGUAAAUUAAAGGAUGUUAGUACUUGUAUUCCGAUACGCUUAUAAUACAGAAAGCAAGUAAUAUGUGACUGUACAUAAUGGCUAUGAGGCGAGGAUAUGAUACGAGAAGAUAGAGAUGAGAGAUUGCACUUAAGGGGUUAGCACCUCUUUUCUUUUUGUGUUUGGUCCCCAAAGCAUAUCUCUUAUUGGCUGAUGUUGCAAGGCGGUCCCAUAAGUUGGGCUAAAAGUGCUUGAUAGCUAGAAUUAAUAUUGUGGUAUAACAUAUGUCACCCCUAUAUUUGAAUAAGGUUACAAAGUGACUACUUGAAGAUUUAAAAAAGCAUGGAGAUAAUUUUGUUGCGAAAAUUAAAAGUAAGAGCUAAAUUGUUUGGCUUUAUUAGAGUAUAGACUCUGUUAGUCUAUUAUCAUUUUGUUAUAUAGGCUGGAAUAUUAUUAGUAAGCAGUUAGCAGCAGUUAGUCAUACAAGUAUAAAUUCUAUUCAUGUAUUGUUCAAAGAUAAGCUAAUAAUACCAGAAGAGAUUUAACAUGUUCAUUCUACUUUUUUUUGUUAUUCUUCAUAAUACAGUUGUUAACAUGGUCUCAGUCGCCAAAUUUCUUGGAGGUUGCUUCUAUUGUAGAUCCAUGGCCAAUUCCACUGAUUCUACCUUCGCUGGUCGUAGCAGUCCCUCAUUCUCAGUUCAUGUUUGGUUCAAUCGUUUCCUCGUCAUGGCACUGUGAAGUUAGAUGAAGGAAAUUUUGUACAAUGGCAACAGCAUAUCCAAUUGAUAAUUGAAGGAUAUGAACUCAUAAGAUUUUUAGAAGGGACGUUACCUGCUCCGCCUCGCUUUGUGUCAUCUCCGGAUGGAAACUUAGCUCUGACUCCCGAUGCAUCCCUGUUUGUUCAGCAAGAUAAGUUACUCGCUUAUUGGUUACUUUUUACGAUUAGUGCUCCUUUGUUUUCUUGUUUUACAACUGCUAAGACGGCGUGUGAGGUUUGGAGCACUGCGAAUUGCCUAUUUGCUGCUGCCACUAGAGCCAAGCUUUCGCGUAUUAAGCAUGAACUCCAGUCCAUCACGAAAGGCGUGAUGACUAUCAAAGAGUAUAUUGCUAAGAUUCAAAAUACUUGUGCGUUACUCGAGGAAUCUAGAUCAGUGGUUUUAAAGGCUGAAAAGGUAGAGAUCAUUCUUGCCGGCCUAUUGUCUGAUUAUGAUGUCGUUUUAACUCUGGCAUCGUUCUCAACUGAAACUUUUUCGUUAUAAAAGAUUGUUGAUAUGCUUCUGGAGUUCGAAAGCCAUCAGACUCAAGCGGUGAACGACGUACCUUUUCAUGCUCAUUUGGUAGAGGCCACUUCGGCGACAUCCGUGGAGGACUCCGUACGUGGUGGUCGUCCUCCUUCUGGUGCUCGUAGGCGCGACUUUCGAUCUCAGCUUCAGUGCCAGGACUAUGGUUGCUAUGGACAUUUGGUACAAUGCUGUUAUUAUCAGUUCAACCGCGACUACAGUGAUCUGUCUGUUUUGACCAUGGCGCGGGUUUCGCCUGUUCAUGCUGAUCACAAUUAGCAUAACGAUGUUUUUGGCGCAAGUGGUCUCUCGACUAGCUGGUUUUCAUCAACUUGUCCUGGUCCGGACCCGUUCGUGCCUGGACAGUAUGUCGAUUCUUUGGUGGUGACACCGGCGUAUUUCUCUUAUGGCUCAUCAUGGUGAGGGUGGCCACAUUUGCAAAACAAUGCCUCCCUUGUGCCAAGUUUGUUGAAUGUUAAGGUUUCUAACCCUUUUGCUCAUAAUUUUGACGAUGGGGCAGGCUAGGUGUUUGGGCUCGCUGUUGGACCAAGCUCAAAUUGUGGCCAAUUUGGUGGUCCUCACUUACCGCGGAGAAUGGGCCAGCACGUUAGGCCAUUUGCUAGUGUUCCUAGGCCGACUGGUUCAGGCCAAGAUUUUGGGCCAUAUGGAAUUCGUAGGCUAACCAGUGCUGGUCCUAACAUUGGACAGGGUUCACUUGGGCCAAAUGUUAAUUUUGUUAGACUUGAGGGCUCUUUUGGGCAUGGACAAGGACUUUGGCCCACCACUGGCAAUGUUUCAGUGCCAAAUAAUGGGUCAUGCGUUCCAUGGCGCACUAAACUGACGGCGCACAUUAUUGAUUGAUUUCUCACUGUGUGUUGGGUUGCCUCACAUUCUUGAUUUUCAUGUGUCUGAUAUUUUUACUACCUCUGGGUCCAAUGCUAACACGACUCCGUAUGGGUCUAAUUUUGAUAAUGAUAACUCUUACAUUCCUAUGCCUGUAGGGACCUUGUCCUGGUGUCUUAAUUCAGGGUCUAUACAUCAUGUCUAUCGAGAAGCCUCUACCUUGAACGAGUCUACGCCAUACUCAGGUACAUCUCCUCUCCUCAUGGAUGAUAUUACUCCUACAAAAAUAUCAUGUGUUGGAAACUCUAUCUUGCCUACGAAGACUAAGCUGUUUCAUCUAUCUAAUGUUUUGUGUGUGCCAAAUAUACGGAAGAAUCUGCUAUCUGUCUCUCAAUUUGCUAAUGACAAUAAUAUGGUCUUUGAAUUUCACCCGUCUUAUUGAGGACAUCCAGACUCAGGAAAUUUUGCUUCGGGGCCACACUCGUGAUGGGCUCUAUUAUUUUUCGUAGGUUACUCAUGUUCCGUCUGUCGUUGUUCCUUCUGUUCACAACACUGGGCUCCAGAGUCGCAAUGCCGGUGAUGAUGUUUUUACGUUAUGGCACUACAGACUUGGUCAUCCGUCUGCCUCGAUUGUUAAACUUGUUCUCGAUAAGUGUCAAGUUGUUUCAACUAAAAUGUACCUUGAAAAUAUUUGUAUUGCUUGUCAAAAGGGGAAGUCCCAUAAACUGUCUUUUUCAAGUUCUACUACUAAAUAUACGGAUUUGUUUGAAUUGGUUGUCUUUGACUUAUGUGGACUGGCAUCUGUUGUCUGUAGAAAUAAUCUGUAUCAUGUUUCGUUUAUCGACAUGUGUAGUUAUUUUACUUGGAUUUAUCUCAUUAAACGUAAUUCUAAGGAGGUUGAAUGUUUUCUUCAGUUUCAGAAAAUGGUCAAAACUCAGUUUGGGAAAGAUAUUAAAAAAAUUCAAAGUGAUUGGGGUGGUGAGUUUCUUGCCUUUACGUCAGUUCUGGCUAGUCAUGGGAUACUUCAUCACCUCUCCUGUCCAUAUACAUCCGAGUAGAACGAUGUAGCUGAACGAAAACAUCGACACAUUGUUGAGAUGAGUCUUAUUCUAUUGGCCAAAGCUAACCUAUCCAUGGAUUUCUGUGGUUUCGUAUUUUACAAUGCCAUUCAUCUCAUUAGUCUUCUACCGACCCUAGUUCUGAAAGGUCAGUCUCCAUAUCAGGUUCUUCAUGGUAGUGACCCUACAUAUGAUCAUUUACAAGUAUUUAAGUGUUGUUGAUUUUCGUACCUGCGUCUGUUUCUGCAACACAAGUUGGAUUUUCAUUCUCAGCCAUGCAUAUUUUUUAGGUAUAGUUCUCAACAUAAAGGCUAUCACUGCCUCACACCAAAUGGUAAGGUCAUUGUCUCUCGUCAUGUUGUGUUUGAUGAACGUUGGUUUUUCUUUUCUUCAAAUGCUGUGAACACCGUUCAGUUAAGUCCAUGUAUCUCUACAUAUGUUCCUAUUGUUCGGUCUUCAUCUUGCCGCCCCACGACAUCUUCGCUUGUUCGACCCACUGAGUCAUCGACUCUUGCUCCUAAUUGUAGUUCCACGCUGUCUGUUUCAGUUGACACUCCGGCUGAAUUAGGUUUUACUCAUGAGGUGCAUCGGCUCUCUACCUCAUCCCUUGAAUCUCGUCAAUGCGAUCCAACUACAAUUCCAUUGGCUGUUCCAUCUAUUUCUCUGGAAUACUCAUAACACUAUUACUCAGCUAGACCCAAAGCUCUGUCUGUUGAAAUUGUCAACUGUGAGUCGAUCACGAUUGAAGAGGCGCUCGCUAGUAAGGAAUGGCAAUUAGUUGUCCAAGCUGAGUUUGUUGCUAUAAUGGUUAACUCCACUUGGGAGCUUGUUCCCUUACCUCAUGGUCGAAAAGUGAUUAGGUGUAAGUGGCUUUUUAAAAUAAAAAAAUCCUGAUGGGACUAUCACUUGACGUAAGGCUCGGUUGGAAGCAAAGGGUUGUUCUCAGGUACUCAGGUGUGAUUUCAAGGAAACCUUUAGUUUGGUAGUUAAACCUGCUACUAUUAGAACCAUAUUAUCUGUUGCUAUCUCCAACGGUUGGCAAUUUGGUCAGGUAGAUGUGAACAAUGCUUUUUUAAAUGGUGAUCUUAUUGACGAAGUGUUCAUGCAGCAACCUCUAGGCUAUGUUCAGAUUGGUCAAAAUGGUGAGCCCUUGGUGUAUCAUUUGACAAAGGUGUUGUACAGAUUAAGACAAGCUCCACGUGCUUGGUUUGAUAAAUUGAAACGUUUUUUUGUUUCUAUUGGAUUUGCUUUAUCCAAAUCUGAUGUAUCCUUAUUUGUUCAAGUUAAUUCGAAUCCACUAUUUAUGUUUUAGUCUAUAUGGAUGAUAUUAUCGUUACUAGAAGUACGAUCGACGGUAUAAAUGGCUGUAUUCAAUAGUUACAUAAUGUGUUUCCCUUAAAGAUAUGGGAGAUCUUUACUACUUCUUAGGCAUUGAAGUCACUCGGUAGUCCACUGGGAGUCUCCAUUUGUGCCAACGCAAAUACAUUCGGGAUCUUCUUGACAGUAGUUUUUUAGCUAAUGCAAAGAGUGUUCACACACCGAUGGUUAGUUCUUUUACGUUGUUUAAAGAUGUGGGAGAUCGCCUCGUUGAUCCUACUGGAUAUAGAAGUCUUGUCGGUGUAUUACAAUAUGUGGUCUUGACUCUGCCUGAUAUUGCUUAUGCUAUAAAUCAUGUUUGUCAAUUCAUGCAUGCCCCUACUACAGUACAUUUGGUGGCUUUGAAAAGAAUCUUGCACUAUUUAUGUGACACUAUUAAUCAUGGGUUAAUUUUGUCUGUUCAACAUAUUGUCUUUAGUUGGCUAUGCUAAUGCCAACUGGGGACUGGAUUUUGAUGAUCGUAAAUCAACAACAAGCUAUUGUUUGUAUUUUGGGUAUACACCCAUCUCUUGGUGAUCUAAGAGACAACUCUACUGCGUGAGGCGAAGUAUUUUGGCCGCACCAUGGCUGAGGUGAAGUAUCGAAGUCUAGCAACAACUACCAGUGAUGUUACUUGGUUAGUCUCUCUACUAACAAAAUUACAGAUUCAUUCUAUAGAUCCACAUACUAUUUGGCGUGACAACUCUAAUGCAGUAGCGGUCAUUGCUAAUCCGGUCUGACACUCUAAAUUUAAACAUGCCAAGCUUGAUCUAUUUUUUGUUCGCGAAAAGGUCGCUAAUGGUUCUCUCGUUGUCGGUGAGAUUCUAGCAUGUGAUUAAGUUGCUGACAUUCUCACAAAACCACUGUUCGUCUCUACUUUUGCUAGGUUUCGUAGUCUGCUUCAAUUCUUACCUCUUGAGAAGCUGGGUGAAGCCAGGUGAAUAUUAGAGUAUAGACUCUGUUAGUCUGUUACCAUUUUGUUAUUCAGGCUGGAAUAUUGUUAGUAAGCAGUUAGUCAUAGCAGUUAGUCAUACAAUUAUAAAUUCUAUUCAUGUAUUGUUCAAAGGUAAGCUAAUAAUACCAAAAGAGAUUUAAUGUGCUCAUUCUACUUUCUUUGUUAUUCUUCAUAAUACAGUUGUUAACAUGCUUGAUAUCAUCUCUUAGAGAGAACGAGGAGAGAUAAGAGUAAGAGUAUGAGCCAACUAGGGAUAAGGCUCUACCAUAAUACCUUGGAUGCAAUUAAAGUAAGAGUAAGAGCCAACUUGUUUGGCUUGAUAGCAUCCCCUUAUAGAAAAGGCUCUACCGCAUGGCAUGAGAGCAAUAAAAGUAACACUCAAUUUCUUGGGUUGAUAGCAUCUCCUUAGGGAAAAGGGUUUACCAUGUGACAUGAAAGCAAUUAAAGUAAGAGUAAGAUCCAACUUGUUUGUCUUAAUAGCAUCAUUUAAGAGAAAUAUCCCAAUCAAUUUAUUCAAAUAUGUUAAUCAAAUAAUGCAAGUUACAAUGUUCUGUCAGUUUUUCCUUUAAUUGUAACUGGGUUAAAGUUGGUAGUUGUAACUGCUACUAAUAGAAUGGAUACGGUAGAAAUGGUUGCAAGCAACAUAAGCAAAGAUGACUUUAAUGUCUUUGUAUUGACCACGUGAGAACUAUAGAAUGCAGAGAAUAGUAUGGUGAUUGGCAACAGAAUGCUACUAACCUUGAGGAUAGUAGACAGGGAUGGAUCCACGGGGGUUGGGGGCGGUCCCCCCUUGGAAUUUUUAAAAUUUUAAAUUUUAUAUAUAAAUUAUCAUGUAUUUUAAAUUUGGUGUCCACAUUGUAUAGCAUUCACCCCCCUUUUCCAAAUUGCAUUUCAUAUCAUUUGCCCUCUUAAGCCAUAAGGUUAUACUUUAUAUUAACAAAGUAUUUUCCAUUUUUUAAUUAUAUAAAUUUAAUAAUAAUAAUAAUAAUCAAAUAUUAAUAUAUGAUUGGCAUUGAAAGACUAAACAUAAAGGUCCAGUUGAGACUUUAAAGCCAAAUUCCAUAAUUAAUUAAUUGAUUUGGCCCAUACCAGUACAUAUUAGGUUAGCGAAAUUCUUGUAUUUUGAUUUGUAUGUCUUGCUAAGGAAUUAUCUUCCUUUGGUAAGGUGUUGACACUGCCAAGAGAAAAAGAAAGGAUUUUGAUGUCGAGAUUGUGAGCAUAGAGUAAAAAAAAUACAAAUUAUCUUCCUCUUAGCUCCUUAUGGAAAAAACCUCUCGGUAAAUAUUUUUGCAUAAAUUAUGUUUUUUAUUAAUUUGACUUAGUUUUUUUCUUUUUUCCUAAUACAUUGUUGUUUAAUAUAUUCUUACAAUCAUCAGGUUUUUUGACUAAAUUAUGGUCAAUAAAAACAUCGAAUCUAUUUAAAAAAAAAGAGUGUCAGAAAGCAAUAAUGAUCAACCGGUUCCUCAACCUUCCAUUAUUAGUGAAGAAAAAUCAAAUAUCGGAUCUUCCAAAGCUCUUGAACAAAAUAUCAGGUCUUCUUAAGCCCAAGCUCCUAAAUGCGGUAUGGAGUCUUCCCCAACUCCUGAACGAGAUUGUAACAAUCCAUACCCAAUUCGAUCACCAAAUCCAAGUAGAGAGCGCCGCAACUUAAACCAUAUGAAUUGAAUAAUAAAUAUUUGAAAUUUAUUAAAGUAUCGAGUUCUUGGUGUAACCCUCAGUAUAACAAUACGAAACAAUUAAAUCAAUGAUACGCCAGGAAAAAAUGUUUUUAGGCAAAACACAUGGCGGAAGCCUUACAAAAUUUUAUAAGUUUAUAUAAAAUGUAAGAUGAGUUAAUCCCAUACAACAGUUUCAAGUGCAUCGUUGGCGGUUAAAAGAACAUUCAAAAACUAUUCGGCGUAUAUGCCAAUGAGACAAUCACGUGGAACAAGAUAUAGUAGCUUAAACACAUACAUCACUUACCACGUCAUCAUAACAUAUACUAACCAUAUAAACAAACUUAUCGAGCUGCGAACUAACAAGUUCACCCAAACAUCUAGGGUUAGCGAUAACUUAUUAGAAGAGCCCGCCAAACCCUAGAGUUCGCCAAAACCUGGAGUUCACCAAAUGGCGACUCCCAUAGAAUACGCCAAACACACAACCAAAAAUAAAUACUCUACUAAUUUACUCAUUUUAUAUUCUUAGCAUAAACAACUAUGCACCAAACAGUAACUUGAUACAUUAUCUUUCGGGCGAGUUGUUACAAUUCUCCCCCAUUUAGAAACUUUUGUCCUUGAAAUUCUUACCGGUGAAUAACUGAGGAUAUUGUUCUUUCAUCGAACUCUCUCUUUCCCAAAUGGCUUCUUUUGUAUUGUGAUUUAUCUAUAAUACAUUAACCAAAGGAAUUCUUUUACUUCUCAACUCUUUUACUUCCCUUGCUAAAAUACAAACAGGUUCUUCUUCAUAGGACAAGUUUUGCUCCACUUCCAGUGCUUUGACUUGUACCACAUAAUCUGGAUUGGAUUGAUAUUUUCUUAACAUAGAUAUAUUAAACACAUUAUGUAUAUUUGAUAACUCUGGUGGCAACACCAGUUUGUAUGCCACUGGACCAACUUAUUCCAAAAUCUCAUAUGGUUCUAUGAAAUGCAGACUUAAUUUCCCUUUUUGUUCAAACCUUAUGAUCUUCUUCCAAAGAGAAAACUUCAUAAAUGCAUUGUCACCCACUUCGAAAGAGAUUAUUUUCCUUUUUAGAUCAGCAUAAGCUUUCUGGCGAUCUUAAGUUACUUUCAGAUGAUUUCUAAUGAUAAAGACUUUCUCUUCUGUUUCUCAUACUAAAUCAAGACCAACUAUUUUCCUUUUACUGAGUCUCAUCCAAUAGGUAGGAGAUCUGCACCUUCGUCUAUACAAAGCUCCAAAUGGUAACAUUCCCAGACUGUCAUAAUAACUAUUAUUAUACGCAAACUCUAGCAAAGGAAGAUAUCUUUCUCAAUUCAUUCUAAAAUCUAUAAUACAACCUCUAAACAUGUCUUCUAGAACUUGAAAUACUCUUUCAAAUUGCUCAUCGAAUUAGGGAUGAAAGGUAGUACAGAAUCAUUAUUUCGUUCCCAACGAUUCUUGCAGUUGUCUCCAAAAUCUCAAUGUAAACAUUGGGUCUCGAUCUGAAACUAUGGAUGUUGGAAUCCCAUGAGGCGUACAACUUCAGAAACGUAGAGAUUAGCCAACUUUUCCAAUAAGUAAUUUGUGCGGACAAACAAGAUAUGGGCUAACUUAGUAAGUCGAUCUACAAUUACCUAGACUGAGUACUUCUUCGAAAGGAUGAGAGGGAGAGCCAAAACAAAAUCCAUGGUGAUCUUAUCCCACUUCCACAUAGAUAUCUCUAAAAGGUACAACUUGCCUAAGGGAACCUGAUGUUCUAUUUUAAUCUGCUGACAUGUCAAACAAAUGGAAAUGUACUUUGUUAUUUCUUUCUUCAUUUCAAGUCAGUAAUACAAACUUAUCAAAUUAUGAUACAUUUUAUGUAAAACUCUCAACCCAACUCGAAAUGUCGAGUCUGGAUCUCGGGUAUUACUAUACAUAAUACUUGGCAAAAUAUCAAAAUAGUUGACAAAUACUCUUUAUAGAAAACAUUUUCUUAUUAUUUUAACCAAAAGACUAAAUAUUUAAUAACAAGAGAAAAUAUUAAAAACAAAAAAAAAUUAUUACAUCAGACUUGGUACAACUCAUUAUAGUAUAAAAUUUUGUUAAAGACAUACUCUUGGGGCAUAACCCUAAUCUAAGCCACUUUUCCACUAUAUGCAUAAUAACCCACUUCGCCACUAUCUUGGCGUACUCCUAGCAUCGUCACUCCUAAUGCAUUCUCUACCCAUACACCUGAAAACAACAACAUUUUAAGCUUAAGAUAACUUAGUGACUUUUAUCCCAAAAAUACCUUGGCGAGUACUUUAUAUUAUUUGAAGAACAUUUGUGCGCCAUCUAUCCUUCUGAACCACCUUCUUCUGAAUUAAGUGGAUACUAUUAUAGAUUCAACUUUCACUUACACGCCAACUAUCAUACUCUUAACAAACUCACUUAUUCUAGAAUAGUUGUUCACAUAUAUUAAUCACUAAUUGAUACAUUCAUAUUUGGCGAAUACUUACGCAGAUCUGAAUACCAUCAAACUACUAAUCAAAUCAUACCUUGAUCCGAUACCAUACAAACUCAUACUGAUAAUGUACUACACAAAUUAUUCAAAUGAAUUUUCCACUACUUUGUUACAGGACCCCAGAUAAUCAUCAUAACAAUAACUCAAUUUUCAUAUGAUUUCAGAAGAAGAUAUAAUACAACCCAAAUACGGCAAAUUCCAGAUAACUCAGAUUCAACAACUGCUUAACACAUACGAACUCACAUUUAUAAUUUCUUAUGUCCCACAUAACUACGACUAUGUCUAUAUUCAACACUAACAAAUAAUCAUGACGGAUACCCUUCUUAUACAUAUAUGCAUUUCUUUUCUAGAAAUCUCUUAAGACUUACUCAAUUAUAUCACAUAUCUUAUUCAACCCUUAACUUUAGACAUAUCAUAACCCUAUCAUAUCAAUAUCUAUCACAAAAAAAAUCAGGAUUUAUCCAAAACUUACCAUAAAGGUAGAUAAUCAUAUUAUAUCAGACAAACUUAACUAAAUGUGCCACAAAGGCCAAACAAAAUAUGCCUUAAAGGCUUCAUACAAAAUCACGUGUUUACUAUCCCGACGGACUAUCACAAAAGGUGUCAUGGGUUUCUCCCACAUGGACUUAUACAUAAUUUCAUGUAUUGUGAUCUGCCAUUUUGAAUCAUACGUUAUCGAAGGAUACUCCAUAAGCAUACAUACAGACAUAUCUUGCCAUGUGUCUCAGCCACAUGGCUUAAACACACAUUCAUGUACUGUGAUAUGUCAAUCCAGUCUUACUCUUAUUAGAGCCUACACCAUGAGUGUUUUCAAAUCAUAUUAAGAUGUUGUAGGUCUCAACCUCAUAGUCUUACACUUGUUUUCAUAUCGUGACCUGCCAGUCUAGUUAGCAAUAUAAUUGCCUACCAGAGGCUUCAUAGAGGAACAUUUGCUUAGAUUCACUUACCUAGAUGAUCUGUAACACCCCUUACCCGAGACCGUUGUCAGAGUCGAGCACGAGGUAUUACUUAUCUUAUCUUACUAACUCGAAGCAUAAAAACUUGUUUUAAAAAUUAAUUUCACUAUUUAUAGCAAUUUGUCCAAUCGCGCAGCAGUUACUAAAUUAAUUAUAACUCGAGAUACGGAACUUGAAAUUUAACUCCGUAAAUUUUCCCUGAAACUAGACUCAUAUAUCUUCCUACCAUAAAAAUUUUAGGAUUUUUAGUUUAUCAAAUUAGUACAGUUUAUUAGUUAAAUUCUCCCCUGUUUCACAAAUCGACUGCCCUGACCUCUUAUCACUAAAAAUAAAAUGUAUCAUUGUGGGAUUUUCGUAUAGUGCUACCGCUUGCUUCUACAGAAAAUAGACUCAAUAAGGAAUCUAUACAUAUAAACUACAACUCAUAAAUAUUUUUUUAAAAUUUUUAAUGAUUUUAUAAACUCAAAACAGGGGUCACCAAAAACUGUUCUAACCCUGUCUCACCAAAAUUCACAUAUCUUAAAAUAUAAAUUCCUUUUGCUACACCGUUAUUUUUAUGUGAAAAUAGACUCAACAAGAUUUAUGUCAUUCAAUAUUUAAUUCAUUUUAUACUAUCCUAGGUGAUUUUUCAAAGUCACGUCACUGUUGCUGCCUGAAUUCUGUUUCUUUGCAAAAUUUUACCCUUUUAUGAUUUCCAUGCAUAGUUUAUCACUUAGACUCUUAUAACAACAAACACUUCCAUACUUAACCAUUUUAGCAACCAUUCAUCAUCAAAUACUUACACAUCAUUCUUUAGCAAGAUCAUAAAUACAAACAUUUAAAAUAACUAAAUCCCUUUACAUUCCAUACUCAACAUGGUUCAACAUAAAAAUACCGAGUUGCUGUGGUUGAUAGUGUGGACGAUCUCCGACUUCUUUAGGAUCCUUGAAGUAACCUUGCAAUACUAUAAGAGAAAGAGAAAUAAAAGACGUAAGCAUAAAGCUUAGUAAGUUUACUAGCAAAUAAAUAACAAUAUUUAACUAGAUAAUUAAACUCAAGUGUCUAUAUCUCUAGUUUACUAUUUAGUUAAUCUCAUUCUAGUUCUCUUGCUUGUUUACUUAGUAUACUUGUGUGCAUAACUUACUCCUCUCUUGCUGUAUAGUUGAAUAUCAAUUGAUAAUAUAAUAAGUUAUUAACUCUUAUAACUUACCUGAACUUGCCAUUUAUGUUUUUAACUGAACUUUCCUGAACAUGAUUCGUUAUUUAGCCCGUUGAGCUACAUUGGAACAAUAAGGAUACUCGGGUCUCUUCUGAUAAUAACAUGCCAAAGCCAUGUCCCAGACAUGGUCUUACAUGGGAUGUACUCAUGUCGGUGCCCAUUCCAUAUCCCAGACAUGGUCUUACGGGGGACCUCUCAUCUCGGUGCCAAUGCCAUGUCCCAGACAUGGUCUUACAUGGGACCUCUCAUCUCGGUGCCAACGCCAUGUCCCAGACAUGGUCUUACAUGGGACCUCUCAUCUCGGUGCCAACGCCAUGUCCCAGACAUGGUCUUACAUGGGACCUCUUUACCCAAAUGUCAUGACAUUCGUAUCCAGUACCAUCCUUACUAUUCAUGACAACCGAUAUAUAUAUAUACAUACUCACUAUUCACAAGGACUCGAACGAUUAUAUACUCAUCAACCACCUUAAAACAAUGUUCAUAAACUUAUCCAUUUCAUAUAAACAAAAGCAUAUAUAUUUAUAACCAAUGCAUAGAAUCACUUAAUUUAAACAGAUUCACUGGCACUUCACCUGAUAGGCUUAUAGUUUAAUUCAGUUCACCGGCACUUAGCCUACUAGGCUUGUAGCCUGAUUCAGUUCACCGGCACUUAGCCUGCUAGACGUAUAGUCCGAUUCAAUUCACCGGCAUUUAGCCUGCUAGACGUAUAGUCUGAUUCAAUUUACCGGCACUUAGCCUGCUAGACGUAUAGUCUGAAUAAUUUUACUGGUAAUAAAUCCGAUAGUAAUUUCUCCGUUGAAAUUGAAUUAUAUUCAAUUCUGCGUAACAAACAUGCACUUAAAACAUACUUGCAUAAUUCACAACAAUAAUUUCAGUCCAAAGAGCUGUAAUUCAUAUUCGAACUAUAUAUAUAUAAAUCCAUACAUAAAAAUUCAACUCAAAAUUUAUAACCUAUAUCUUUGAACCACAUAGGUACAUGAAAUUCAAACACCAAAAUCCAGCUCAAUAACUUCAUGAUUCAACCUAACAAAUUUAUGUAUAUAACUUUUUAUCUAAUUUCAAUACAAUAACUUAUACAUGUACGUAUAUACAUAUUCGAAUCUAACAUAUACAUAUAUAAUUUCAUACUUAAAUAUAUUCAAGACUUAUUCAUGAGUAUACAUAUAUAUUACAACUCACAUGUACAUAUAUAUACACAUUCAUACCUUUAACCAAGUCCAAGGCUUUAUACAUGUAUAUGCUUAUAUAUAUAUAUUCGGACCUUAUGUUUACAUAUAUAUAUUAUAUAAAUACCUUUGAUUAAAAACAAGUAUUUAUACAUAUAUAUAUUUUCGAACAUGAUACAUAUAUAUUUAUAUCAUUCAUACUUAAACAAAAUUCAAUCCAUAUACUUUCAAUUUCAGCUCACCAAAUUACUAUAGAUAUACAUGCAUAUAUACUGAUUUAAUAACCUCAAAUUGCUAAUAGACUUACCUCGGAUAUCAGCGGACACGAUCGAGUAUUCGAUUACUUUCGUUUUUCCCCGAUCCAAAUUCGUUUUCUUCGUUUUUUAUCUUAAUUAGACCUAGAGAUAGCCGAACCUUGUUGUUCUCUUUUCUUUUCUUUUCUUUUUCUUUUCUAUAUUCGGCCAAGAUGAAGAACAUGGCAUUUAAAAUUUGUUAUAUUAAACAUAUAUUAGCCUUAUUUUUAAUUUACUAUAUUAACCUUUACAUAUAUAUAACAUAUAUAAUAAGGUUACAUUAGUCCUUUGCCACCCACUAACUUACAUAGUGGACUAAUUGCAUAGUAAAACCUCUAAAUUAUAAAGACAACAAGAAUUAGGUCCUUUUAUAAUUAACCCCUAAAUUUUCAUUUUACGCGAUUAAGCCCUUUUAUUAAAUCGGACACUUAAACGACGAAAUUAAAACACGAAAAUUUCACACAAUCAAAUGCAUACAAAACAAUAUUAAUAAUAUUUUUCUAAUUCAAAUUUGUGGUCCCGAAACCAGUAUUCUGAUUAGGGUCAAAAACCGGGUUGUUACAACUCUCCCCCCUUAGGGAUUUUCGUCCCCGAAAAUCUUACCGGUGAAUAGGUUUGGAUAACGCUCUUUCAUUGUAUCUUCUAACUCCCAAGUUGCUUCUUCAACCCCAUGUUUAUGCCACAACACUUUAACUAACGGAAUUUUCUUAUUUCGUAAUUCUUUGAUCUCACGAGCCAGAAUGCUAAUCGGUUCUUCCUCAUAUGUCAUAUCAGAGUUAAUUUCAAUCUCCGUCGGACUAAUCACAUGUGAAGGAUCAGAUCGGUAUCUACGAAGCAUCGAAACAUGGAAUACGUUAUGAAUCUUUUCUAACUCAGGCAGUAACAUCAAUCUAUAAGCAACCAAUCCAACUCGCUCUAUAAUCUCAUACGGUCCAAUGAAUCUCGGACACAAUUUGCCUUUACGACCAAAUCUGAGUAUUUUCUUCCACGGUGAGACUUUUAAAAACACUUUAUCCCCGAUCUGAAAUUCUAUAUCCUUUCUUUUCAAAUUCGCAUAAGAUUUCUGACGAUCCGAUGCUGAUUUCAGACUGUCCCGAAUCACUUUCACUUUCUGUUCGGUCUCUUUAAUCAAAUCAACCCCGUGUAUCUUAUUUUCACUGAGCUCGGUCCAAUACAGUGGUGUACGACAUUUACAACCGUACAAAGCCUCAUAAGGUGCCAUUUUGAUACUAGAUUGAAAGCUAUUAUUAUAAGCAAAUUCAAUCAAAGGUAAGUAUCGUUCCCACGUACCUUCAAACUCGAGAAUGCAACAUCUCAACAUAUCCUCAAGUAUCUGAAUGAUUCAUUCAGAUUGACCAUCUGUCUGCGGAUCGAAAGCUGUGCUAAAAUGUAGUUUCGUACCUAAAGCAUCUUGUAGUUUCUUCCAAAAUCGCGAUGUGAAUCUCAGAUCUCUGUCUGAAACAAUAGAAAUAGGUACACCAUGCAACCUCACAAUUUGUGAAAUAUACAAUUCCGCAAGUUUAUCGAGCGAAAAAUCUGUACGAAUCGAAAUAAAAUGUGUCGAUUUUGUCAACCUAUCAACAAUAACCCAGAUUGCAUCUAUCUUGCUCGGUGUCAACGGUAAAUCGGAUACAAAAUCCAUCGUGACUCGAUCCCAUUUCCAUUGAGGUAUCAUGAUCGGCUGAAGCAACCCAGAUGGUACCUGAUGCUUGGCUUUAACUUGCUGACAAAUUAAACAUUUCGAAACAAAGUCAGAAAUGUCUCGUUUCAUACCUUGCCACCAAUAGUGCUGUUUCAGAUCGUUAUACAUUUUCGUGCUACCCGGAUGAACAGAAAAUCGACUACUAUGAGCUUCCUUCAAAAUCAUCUAAAUUAACUCUGAUUUUUUCGGAACACAUAAUCGGUUUCUAAAUCUCAAACAAUCCUCAGCAUCAACUAAAAACUCCGAAUCAAUAUUUAAGUCACAUUGAGCUCGUUUUGCAGUUAAAUCAUUAUCGACCUUUUGAGCUUCACAAAUCUGUUGUACAAAUAACGGUUUUGCUUUCAACUCAGCUACUAUCGCACCAUCAUCAGACAUAACCAUAUGUGCGUUCAUUGCACGCAAAGCAAACAGUGAUUUUCGACUUAGGGCAUCAGCAACAACAUUAGCCUUUCCCGGAUGAUAGUCAAUCACAAGCUCGUAUUCUUUCAGCAAUUCUAACCAUCGACGCUGUCUCAAAUUCAGAUAUUUCUGAGUCAUCAAAUAUUUCAGGCUUUUGGGAUCGGAAUAAACAUGACAUCUUUCACCAAACAGAUAGUGACGCCAUAUUUUUAACGCAAAUACAAUAGCGGCCAAUUCCAGAUCAUGUGUCGGAUAGUUUUUUUCAUGCGGCUUUAACUGUCUCAAGGCAUAGGCUACAACUUUGCCUUCCUACAUCAAAACACAACCCAAACCAUUUAAAGAUGCAUCACUAUAGAUAACAAACUCUUUACCCGAUUCGGGUUGAACUAAGACUGGAGCUUCGGUCAAAAGAACUUUCAACUGAUCAAAGUUUUUCUGACACUUUUCUGACCACUCGAACUUAACGUCUUUUUGUAGUAGCUUUGUCAUCGGGGUCGCAAUCAUAGAAAACCCUUUCACGAACCGUCUAUAAUAACCAGCGAGCCCCAGAAAGCUUCGAACAUCAGAGACAUUUCUCGGAGGUUUCCAAUCAAGUAUAGCUGAAAUUUUACCUGGAUCAACUCGAAUACCCGAUGCUGACACAACAUGGCCCAGAAAACUAACUUCACGUAACCAGAACUCGCAUUUACUGAACUUUGCAUACAACUGUUUAUCUCGCAAAGUUUGUAACACAAGUCUCAGAUGUUCAGUAUGCUCGGUUUCAUCACGAGAGUAGAUCAAAAUAUCAUCUAUAAAUACUACCACAAAUCGAUCCAGAUACUGUCUAAAAAUCUGAUUCAUCAAAUCCAUGAAAACAGCAGGUGCAUUAGUAAGUCCAAAAGGCAUAACCAAGAACUCAUAAUGUCCGUACCUCGUUCGGAAAGCUGUCUUUGGCACAUCAGAGUCUUUAACUCGCAACUGAUAGUAGCCUGAUCUCAGAUCUAUCUUCGAAAACACAGUAGCCCCUUUCAACUGAUCGAACAAAUCAUCAAUCCGUGGUAACGGAUACUUAUUCUUUAUAGUCACCUUAUUGAGUUGCCGGUAAUCAAUGCACAUUCUCAUUGUUCUGUCUUUCUUUUUCACAAAUAGAACUGGUGCACCCCAAGGAGAGAAACUCGGUCGUGUAAAACCUUUAUCAGUCAACUCUUGCAACUGUACUUUCAAUUCUUUUAAUUCGGUCGGUACCAUACGGUACGGAGCUAUCGAAAUUGGAGUUGUCCCUGGUACUAACUCAAUACCAAACUCUACCUCUCGAAUAGGUGGCAAACCCGGUAAUUCUUCGGGAAACACGUCUGAAUACUUACACACUACUGGCACAGAUUCAAUCUUCUUUUCGGUCACUUUACUAUCAAGAAAAAAUGCAAGGUAAUCUUCACAACCUUUUCUCACAUACUUCUGAGCCGACAUCGAGGAUAUUAUUGCUGGUAAACCAUUCAGAUCAUUAGAUUCAAUCCGAAUAAUCUCAUCAUUCUGACACCGUAGAUCAAUAGUUUUCCGUUUGCAGUUUACUAUAGCAUUAUGCAGAGUUAACCAAUCCAUACCCAGAAUUAUAUCAAACUCGUCAAAUGGUAGCAACAUCAAAUCAGCCAGAAAACAUAAAUCUCGAAUCAUCAACGGACAAUUCUUGCACACUUUGUCAACCAAAACACACCGGCCCAAGAGGUUCAAUACUUUAAUUACAAACUCAGUAGACUCAACAGGCAAAGUCUUACUGAAUACUAAAGUCUCACACACAUAAGAAUGAGUCGAACCAAGAUCAAUCAAUGCAAUAACAUUAGUAUCAUAAAGAGUGAAAGUACCAGUAAUAACAUCUGGAGAAGAAGCCUCCUCCCGAGCACGGAUGGCAUAUGCUCUGGCAAGUGCACGAGCCUCAGAUCGAACUGCCAUGUCCUUUGUUCCUCUCUGACUGCCACUUACAUUACUCAAUUGCCUCGGCGGUCUACCUCGUACAGGUACUUUACUCGGUCUGGUAUUCUACACAGUGUUUUGCUCAGCUACCAUCGGACACUCUCGAAUGAAAUGAUCCUUUGAACCGCACUUAAAGCAAGACCGAUCAUGUAAUCUGCAAUCUCCAGGAUGCCAUUUCCCACAAUGCUUGUACUCUGAUCUAUUUUGUCGAACACUACCAACGCUAGCAACUGAAGUAGCUCGUGAACUCACAGGGGGUCGAUCUCGAUCAUACUUAGGAAACCCUGCAGUAGCUUUAGAUCGGCUAUGAUCCUCUCUGGAUUUCAUUGAGGUCGACUGGAAUGAUUUACUGAAUGAUCUUUUACGAGAAUCUCGAGCUUCAUAGCCAGCUUUCCUCUUCUCUUUACUGAGCUCCUUAACUUUACAAGGUCGUUCAACAAGUACUACGAACUCUUUUAUCUCAAGUAUACCAAAUAACAGUUUAAUAUCUUCAUCCAGCCCAUCUUCAAAUCUUUUACACAUGAUAGCUUCAGUCGAAAUACAUUCUCGAGCAUAUCUACUGAGUCUCACAAAUUUCCGCUCAUAUUCUAUCACUGUCAUACGACCCUGUUUCAAUUCAAGAAAUUCCUUAUGCUUCUGAUCAAUGAAUCUUUGGCUGAUGUAUUUCUUACAGAACUCAAUCUGAAAGAAUUCCCAGGUCACUCGCUCUUUCGGAACCACCGAUACUAGUGUAUUCCACCAGUGAUAUGCAGUGUCCCGUAGCAAAGAUAUGGCACAUUUCAAGUACUCAUCAGGGGUGCAAGAUAACUCAUCAAACACUCGAAUAGUAUUAUCAAGCCAGAAUUCAGCUUGCUCAGCAUCAUCAUCAUCAGUAGCUCUGAACUCUUCGACCCCGUGUUUUCAAAUUUAGUCAACAGGAGGCUUAAGUAAUCUCAUCGGAUCACUUACUUGAGGUAUAAUAGGAAUCGAAGGUGGAUUAGUCGGGGGUGGAGUUUGUUGUGCAACCGGAUUAGUUCGGACAUAUUGAGUAAACCAGUCAUUCAUCAUUUGGUAGAAGGCUUGUUUAGCCUCUCCCUCCUGGUUACUCGAGGUCGGUCGAGAAUCUACCAGCUCUGUCCCUUGUGUGGGAGCAGGCGCUAUACUCUCAACAUCAUCGACUACGGCUGGAUCGGGAUCCAUUACUAUACGAAAACACAUUUUUAGACAUCAGCAGUCAUCGCACUAUCUUGGUAUAAAAAUAUGGCAUGUAUAGCUAGACUCAUACAUGCUACAUUAGUCCAAGAAUCGAUUAAACCGUAGCUCUGAUACCAAUAAAAUGUAACACCCCUAACCCGUAUCCGUCGCCGAAUUAGGGUUACGAGGCAUUACUGAACAAAUACAACCAUUUUUAAAACCAACUGAUCACAAACAUGAAAAUUAAAUCAUUUUCACAUAGCUAUUUAUAAUUUACAAUCAACAUCUAACCAACAUCGUACUCAAACCUAUACAUGCCAUAAGAUCAAGUUCAAAUAUUUAACAAAAUACCAAAAGGGGUCGAAAGUGUGAUAGACUAUGCUGAUGAUCCCCGAGCUCGUAACGCAUCUCCAAAAUCUAUAAAAACAAAUGGACAAAAACAAUCAAAGUAAGCUUUUAUAGCUUAGUAAGUCUAUAGCAUAUCUAAAAUACAUAUAAAAGAAUCAUAUAAUUCUUAAAAUAAAUUUAUUGAAAUCACAAUUAUCAAUUAUAAUUACUAAUCGAACAUUGCUAUAUUAAGUCAUCUUGUUUAAAUCUAAAAGGAUGUGUAUUUAUCUAAUACACAUGAACGGACAAAUGUAUAUACAUUAUAUGCAUAUAAUCAAUUUACUAACAUAAUCAUUAAUUGCAUAUACGGAUUUCUAUAGUACUUAUUGUUCGCACUUAAUCGGAUCCAUUUAAAUAUAAUUGUUCAAAUACAUAUACCAAAAGCAUAAUAAUUUUAUACUUGAUCAACUAUAAGUGCCGAAUGCACAUAUACACCUAUACCCACCUAUGCCGAAUGCAUACAUAUAUACACAUAUAUAUAUAUCCAACAAUUUCGUGACAACCGAUAUAUAUAUACAUACUCACUAUUCACAAGGACUCGAACGAUUAUAUACUCAUCAACCACCUUAAAACAAUGUUCAUAAACUUAUCCAUUUCAUAUAAACAAAAGCAUAUAUAUUUAUACCCAAUGCAUAGAAUCACUUAAUUUAAACAGAUUCACUAGCACUUCACCUGAUAGGCUUAUAGUUUAAUUCAGUUCACCGGUACUUAGCCUACUAGGCUUGUAGCCUGAUUCAGUUCACCGGCACUUAGCCUGCUAGACGUAUAGUCCGAUUCAAUUCACCGGCAUUUAGCCUGCUAGACGUAUAGUCCGAUUCAAUUUAUCGGCACUUAGCCUGCUAGAUGUAUAGUCUGAAUAAUUUUACUGGUAAUAAAUCCGAUAGUCAUUUCUCCGUUGAAAUUGAAUUAUAUUCAAUUCUGCGUAACAAACAUGCACUUAAAACAUACUUGCAUAAUUCACAACAAUAAUUUCAGUCCAAAGAGCUGUAAUUCAUAUUCGAACUAUAUAUAUAAAUCCAUACAUAAAAAUUCAGCUCAAAAUUUAUAACCUAUAUCUUUGAACCACAUAGGUACAUGAAAUUCAAACAACAAAAUCCAGCUCAAUAACUUCAUGAUUCAACCUAACAAAUUUAUGUAUAUAACUUUUUAUCUAAUUUCAAUACAAUAACUUAUACAUGUACGUAUAUACAUAUUCGAAUCUAACAUAUACAUAUAUAAUUUCAUACUUAAAUAUAUUCAAGACUUAUUCAUGAGUAUACAUAUAUAUUACAACUCACAUGUACAUAUAUAUACACAUUCAUACCUUUAACCAAGUCCAAGGCUUUAUACAUGUAUAUGCUUAUAUAUAUAUAUAUUCGGACCUUAUGUUUACAUAUAUAUUAUAUAUAAAUACCUUUGAUUAAAAACAAGUAUUUAUACAUAUAUAUAUUUUUGAACAUGAUACAUAUAUAUAUUUAUAUCAUUCAUACUUAAACAAAAUUCAAUCCAUAUACUUUCAAUUUCAGCUCACCAAAUUACUAUAGAUAUACAUGCAUAUAUACUGAUUUAAUAACCUCAAAUUGCUAAUAGACUUACCUCGGAUAUCAGCGGACACGAUCGACUAUUCGAUUACUUUCGUUUUUCCCCGAUCCAAAUUCGUUUUCUUCGUUUUUUUAUCUUAAUUAGACCUAGAGAUAGCCGAACCUUGUUGUUCUCUUUUCUUUUCUUUUCUUUUUCUUUUCUAUAUUCGGCCAAGAUGAAGAACAUGGCAUUUAAAAUUUGUUAUAUUAAACAUAUAUUAGCCUUAUUUUUAAUUUACUAUAUUAACCUUUACAUAUAUAUAUAACAUAUAUAAUAAGGUUACAUUAGUCCUUUGCCACCCACUAACUUACAUAGUGGACUAAUUGCAUAGUAAAACCUCUAAAUUAUAAAGACAACAACAAUUAGGUGCUUUUAUAAUUAACCCCUAAAUUUUCAUUUUACGCGAUUAAGCCCUUUUAUUAAAUCGGACACUUAAACGACGAAAUUAAAACACGAAAAUUUCACACAAUCAAAUGCAUACAAAAUAAUAUUAAUAAUAUUUUUCUAAUUCAAAUUUGUGGUCCCGAAACCAGUAUUCUGAUUAGGGUCAAAAACCGGGUUGUUACAACUCUCCCCCCUUAGAGAUUUUCGUCCCCGAAAAUCUUACCGGUGAAUAGGUUUGGAUAACGCUCUUUCAUUGUAUCUUCUGACUCCCAAGUUGCUUCUUCAACCCCAUGUUUAUGCCACAACACUUUAACUAACGGAAUUUUCUUAUUUCGUAAUUCUUUGAUCUCACGAGCAAGAAUGCUAAUCGGUUCUUCCUCAUAUGUCAUAUCAGAGUUAAUUUCAAUCUCCGUCGGACUAAUCACAUGUGAAGGAUCAGAUCGGUAUCUACGGAGCAUCGAAACAUGGAAUACGUUAUGAAUCUUUUCUAACUCAGGCAGUAACAUCAAUCUAUAAGCAACCAAUCCAACUCGCUCUAUAAUCUCAUACGGUCCAAUUAAUCUCGGACACAAUUUGCCUUUACGACCAAAUCUGAGUAUUUUCUUCCACGGUGAGACUUUUAACUUGCUCGGUGUCAACGGUAAAUCGGAUACAAAAUCCAUCGUGACUCGAUCCCAUUUCCAUUGAGGUAUCAUGAUCGGCUGAAGCAAUCCAGAUGGUACCUGAUGCUCGGCUUUAACUUGCUGACAAAUUAAACAUUUCGAAACAAAGUCAGAAAUGUCUCGUUUCAUACCUUGCCACCAAUAGUGCUGUUUUAGAUCGUUAUACAUUUUCGUGCUACCCGGAUGAACAGAAAAUCGAAUACUAUGAGCUUCCUUCAAAAUCAUCUGAAUUAACUCUGAAUUUUUCGGAACACAUAAUCGGUUUCUAAAUCUCAAACAAUCCUCAGCAUCAACUAAAAACUCCGAAUCAAUAUUUAAGUCACAUUGAGCUCGUUUUGCAGUUAAAUCAUUAUCAACCUUUUGAGCUUCACAAAUCUGUUGUACAAAUAACAGUUUUGCUUUCAACUCAGCUACUAUCGCACCAUCAUCAGACAUAACCAUAUGUGCGUUCAUUGCACGCAAAGCAAACAGUGAUUUUCGACUUAGGGCAUCAGCAACAACAUUAGCCUUUCCCGGAUGAUAGUCAAUCACAAGCUCGUAAUCUUUCAGCAAUUCUAACCAUCGACGCUGUCUCAAAUUCAGAUAUUUCUGAGUCAUCAAAUAUUUCAGGCUUUUGGGAUCGGAAUAAACAUGACAUCUUUCGCCAAACAGAUAGUGACGCCAUAUUUUUAACGCAAAUACAAUAGCGGCCAAUUCCAGAUCAUGCGUCGGAUAGUUUUUUUCAUGCGGCUUUAACUGUCUCAAGGCAUAGGCUACAACUUUGCCUUCCUACAUCAAAACACAACCCAAACCAUUUAAAGAUGCAUCACUAUAGAUAACAAACUCUUUACCCGAUUCGGGUUGAACUAGGACUGGAGCUUCGGUCAAAAGAACUUUCAACUGAUCAAAGUUUUUCUGACACUUUUCUGACCACUCGAACUUAACGUCUUUUUGUAGUAGCUUUGUCAUCGGGGUCGCAAUCAUAGAAAACCCUUUCACGAACCGUCUAUAAUAACCAGCGAGCCCCAGAAAGCUUCGAACAUCAGAGACAUUUCUCGGAGGUUUCCAAUCAAGUAUAGCUGAAAUUUUACUUGGAUCAACCUGAAUACCCGAUGCUGACACAACAUGGCCCAGAAAACUAACUUCACGUAACCAGAACUCGAAUUUACUGAACUUUGCAUACAACUGUUUAUCUCGCAAAGUUUGUAACACAAGUCUCAGAUGUUCAGUAUGCUCGGUUUCAUCACGAGAGUAGAUCAAAAUAUCAUCUAUAAAUACUACCACAAACAGAUCCAGAUACUGUCUAAAAAUCUGAUUCAUCAAAUCCAUGAAAACAGCAGGUGCAUUAGUAAGUCCAAAAGGCAUAACCAAGAACUCAUAAUGUCCGUACCUCGUUCGGAAAGCAGUCUUUGGCACAUCAGAGUCUUUAACUCGCAACUGAUAGUAGCCUGAUCUCAGAUCUAUCUUCGAAAACACAGUAGCCCCUUUCAACUGAUCGAACAAAUCAUCAAUCCGUGGUAACGGAUACUUAUUCUUUAUAGUCACCUUAUUGAGUUGCCGGUAAUCAAUGCACAUUCUCAUUGUUCCGUCUUUCUUUUUCACAAAUAGAACUGGUGCACCCCAAGGAGAGAAACUCGGUCGUGCAAAACCUUUAUCAGUCAACUCUUGCAACUGUACUUUCAAUUCUUUUAAUUCAGUCGGUGCCAUACGGUACGGAGCUAUCGAAAUUGGAGUUGUCCCUGGUACUAACUCAAUACCAAACUCUACCUCUCGAAUAGGUGGCAAACCCGGUAAUUCUUCGGGAAACACGUCUGAAUACUUACACACUACUGGCACAGAUUCAAUCUUCUUUUCGAUCACUUUACUAUCAAGAAAAAAUGCAAGGUAAUCUUCACAACCUUUUCUCACAUACUUUUUUGCCGACAUCGAGGAUAUUAUUGCUGGUAAACCAUUCAGAUCAUUAGAUUCAAUCCGAAUAAUCUCAUCAUUCUGACACCGUAGAUCAAUAGUUUUCCGUUUGCAGUUUACUAUAGCAUCAUGCAGAGUUAACCAAUCCAUACCCAGAAUUAUAUCAAACUCGUCAAAUGGUAGCAACAUCAAAUCAGCCAGAAAACAUAAAUCUCGAAUCAUCAACGGACAAUUCUUGCAUAUUUUGUCAACCAAAACACACCGGCCCAGGGGGUUCAAUACUUUAAUUACAAACUCAGUAGACUCAACAGGCAAAGUCUUACUGAAUACUAAAGUCUCACACACAUAAGAAUGAGUCGAACCAAGAUCAAUCAAUGCAAUAACAUUAGUAUCAUAAAGAGGGAAAGUACCAGUAAUAACAUCUGGAGAAGAAGCCUCCUCUUGAGCACGGAUGGCAUAUGCUCUGGCAAGUGCACGAGCCUCAGAUCGAACUGCCAUGUCCUUUGUUCCUCUCUGACUGCCACUUACAUUACUCAAUUGCCUCGGUGGUCUACCUCGUACUGGCACUUUACUCGGUCUGGUAUUCUGCACAGUGUUUUGCUCAGCUACCAUCGGACACUCUCGAAUGAAAUGAUCCUUUGAACCGCACUUAAAGCAAGACCGAUCAUGUAAUCUGCAAUCUCCAGGAUGCCAUUUCCCACAAUACUUGUACUCUGAUCUAUUUUGUCGAACACUACCAACGCUAGCAACUGAAGUAGCUCGUGAACUCACAGGGGGUCGAUCUCGAUCAUACUUAGGAAACCCUGCAGUAGCUUUAGAUCGGCUAUGAUCCUCUCUGGAUUUCAUUGAGGUCGACUGGAAUGAUUUACUGAAUAAUCUUUUACGAGAAUCUCGAGCUUCAUAGCCAGCUUUCCUCUUCUCUUUCCCGAGCUCCUCAACUUUACAAGGUCGUUCAACAAGUACUACGAACUCUUUUAUCUCAAGUAUACCAAAUAACAGUUUAAUAUCUUCAUCCAGCCCAUCUUCAAAUCUUUUACACAUGAUAGCUUCAGUCGAAAUACAUUCUCGAGCAUAUCUACUGAGUCUCACAAAUUUCCGCUCAUAUUCUAUCACUGUCAUACGACCCUGUUUCAAUUUAAGAAAUUACUUACGCUUCUGAUCAAUGAAUCUUUGGCUGAUGUAUUUCUUACAGAACUCAAUCUGAAAGAAUUCCCAGGUCACUCGCUCUUUCGGAACCACCGAUACUAGUGUAUUCCACCAGUGAUAUGCAGUGUCCCGUGGCAAAGAUAUGGCACAUUUCAAGUACUCAUCAGGGGUGCAAGAUAACUCAUCAAACACUCGAAUAGUAUUAUCAAGCCAGAAUUCAUCUCGCUCAGCAUCAUCAUCAUCAGUAGCUCUGAACUCUUCGACCCCGUGUUUUUGAAUUUUGUCAAUAGGAGGCUUAAGUAAUCUCAUCGGAUCACUUACUUGAGGUAUAACAGGAAUCGAAGGUGGAUUAGUCGGGGGUGGAGUUUGUUGUGCAACCGGAUUAGUUCGGACAUAUUGAGUAAACCAGUCAUUCAUCAUUUGGUAGAAGGCUUGUUUAGCCUCUCCCUCCUGGUUACUCGAGGUCGGUCGAGAAUCUACCGGCUCUGUCCCUUGUGUGGGAGCAGGCGCUAUACCCUCAACAUCAUCGACUACGGCUCGAUCGGGAUCCAUUACUAUACGAAAACACAUUUUUAGACAUCAGCAGUCAUCACACUAUCUUGGUAUAAAAAUAUGGCAUGUAUAGCUAGACUCAUACAUGCUACAUUAGUCCAAGAAUCGAUUAAACCGUAGCUCUGAUACCAAUAAAAUGUAACACCCCUAACCCGUAUCCGUCGCCGAAUUAGGGUUACGAGGCAUUACUGAACAAAUACAACCAUUUUUAAAACCAACUGAUCACAAACAUGAAAAUUAAAUCAUUUUCACAUAGCUAUUUAUAAUUUACAAUCAACAUCUAACCAACAUCGUACUCAAACCUAUACAUGCCAUAAGAUCAAGUUCAAAUAUUUAACAAAAUACCAAAAGGGGUCAAAAGUGUGAUAGACUAUGCUGAUGAUCCCCGAGCUCGUAACGCGUCUCCAAAAUCUAUAAAAACAAAUGGACAAAAACAAUCAAAGUAAGCUUUUAUAGCUUAGUAAGUCUAUAGCAUAUCUAAAAUACAUAUAAAAGAAUCAUAUAAUUCUUAAAAUAAAUUUAUUGAAAUCACAAUUAUCAAUUAUAAUUACUAAUCGAACAUUGCUAUAUUAAGUCAUCUUGUUUAAAUCUAAAAGGAUGUGUAUUUAUCUAAUACACAUGAACGGACAAAUGUAUAUACAUUAUAUGCAUAUAAUCAAUUUACUAACAUAAUCAUUAAUUGCAUAUACGGAUUUCUAUAGUACUUAUUGUUCGCACUUCAUCGGAUCCAUUUAAAUAUAAUUGUUCAAAUACAUAUACCAAAAGCAUAAUAAUUUUAUACUUGAUCAACUAUAAGUGCCGAAUGCACAUAUACACCUAUACCCACCUAUGCCGAAUGCAUACAUAUAUACACAUAUAUAUAUAUCCAACAAUUUCAUGACAACCGAUAUAUAUAUACAUACUCACUAUUCACAAGGACUCGAACGAUUAUAUACUCAUCAACCACCUUAAAACAAUGUUCAUAAACUUAUCCAUUUCAUAUAAACAAAAGCAUAUAUAUUUAUACCCAAUGCAUAGAAUCACUUAAUUUAAACAGAUUCACUGGCACUUCACCUGAUAGGCUUAUAGUUUAAUUCAGUUCACCGGCACUUAGCCUACUAGGCUUGUAGCCUGAUUCAGUUCACCGGCACUUAGCCUGCUAGACGUAUAGUCCGAUUCAAUUCACCGGCAUUUAGCCUGCUAGACGUAUAGUCCGAUUCAAUUUACCGGCACUUAGCCUGCUAGAUGUAUAGUCUGAAUAAUUUUACUGGUAAUAAAUCCGAUAGUCAUUUCUCCGUUGAAAUUGAAUUAUAUUCAAUUCUGCGUAACAAACAUGCACUUAAAACAUACUUGCAUAAUUCACAACAAUAAUUUCAGUCCAAAGAGCUGUAAUUCAUAUUCGAACUAUAUAUAUAUAAAUCCAUACAUAAAAAUUCAGCUCAAAAUUUAUAACCUAUAUCUUUGAACCACAUAGGUACAUGAAAUUCAAACAACAAAAUCCAGCUCAAUAACUUCAUGAUUCAACCUAACAAAUUUAUGUAUAUAACUUUUUAUCUAAUUUCAAUACAAUAACUUAUACAUGUACGUAUAUACAUAUUUGAAUCUAACAUAUACAUAUAUAAUUUCAUACUUAAAUAUAUUCAAGACUUAUUCAUGAGUAUACAUAUAUAUUACAACUCACAUGUACAUAUAUAUACACAUUCAUACCUUUAACCAAGUCCAAGGCUUUAUACAUGUAUAUGCUUAUAUAUAUAUAUAUUCGGACCUUAUGUUUACAUAUAUAUUAUAUAUAAAUACCUUUGAUUAAAAACAAGUAUUUAUACAUAUAUAUAUUUUCGAACAUGAUACAUACAUAUAUUUAUAUCAUUCAUACUUAAACAAAAUUCAAUCCAUAUACUUUCAAUUUCAGCUCACCAAAUUACUAUAGAUAUACAUGCAUAUAUACUGAUUUAAUAACCUCAAAUUGCUAAUAGACUUACCUCGGAUAUCAGCGGACACGAUCGACUAUUCGAUUACUUUCGUUUUUCCCCGAUCCAAAUUCGUUUUCUUCGUUUUUUUAUCUUAAUUAGACCUAGAGAUAGCCGAACCUUGUUGUUCUCUUUUCUUUUCUUUUCUUUUUCUUUUCUAUAUUCGGCCAAGAUGAAGAACAUGGCAUUUAAAAUUUGUUAUAUUAAACAUAUAUUAGCCUUAUUUUUAAUUUACUAUAUUAACCUUUACAUAUAUAUAACAUAUAUAAUAAGGUUACAUUAGUCCUUUGCCACCCACUAACUUACAUAGUGGACUAAUUGCAUAGUAAAACCUCUAAAUUAUAAAGACAACAACAAUUAGGUGCUUUUAUAAUUAACCCCUAAAUUUUCAUUUUACGCGAUUAAGCCCUUUUAUUAAAUCGGACACUUAAACAACGAAAUUAAAACACGAAAAUUUCACACAAUCAAAUGCAUACAAAAUAAUAUUAAUAAUAUUUUUCUAAUUCAAAUUUGUGGUCCCGAAACCAGUAUUCUGAUUAGGGUCAAAAACUGGGUUGUUACAACUCUCCCCCCUUAGGGAUUUUCGUCCCCGAAAAUCUUACCGGUGAAUAGGUUUGGAUAACGCUCUUUCAUUGUAUCUUCUGACUCCCAAGUUGCUUCUUCAACCCCAUGUUUAUGCCACAACACUUUAACUAACGGAAUUUUCUUAUUUCGUAAUUCUUUGAUCUCACGAGCCAGAAUGCUAAUCGGUUCUUCCUCAUAUGUCAUAUCAGAGUUAAUUUCAAUCUCCGUCGGACUAAUCACAUGUGAAGGAUCAGAUCGGUAUCCACAGAGCAUUGAAACAUGGAAUACGUUAUGAAUCUUUUCUAACUCAGGCAGUAACAUCAAUCUAUAACCAACCGAUCCAACUCGCUCUAUAAUCUCAUACGGUCCAAUGAAUCUCGGACUCAAUUUGCCUUUACGACCAAAUCUGAGUAUUUUCUUCCACGGUGAGACUUUUAAAAACACUUUAUCCCCGAUCUGAAAUUCUAUAUCCUUUCUUUUCAAAUCCGCAUAAGAUUUCUGACGAUCCGGUGCUGAUUUCAGACUGUCCCGAAUCACUUUCACUUUCUGUUCGGUCUCUUUAAUCAAAUCAACCCCGUGUAUCUUAUUUUCACUGAGCUCAGUCCAAUACAGUGGUGUACGACAUUUACGACCGUACAAAGCCUCAUAAGGUGCCAUUUUGAUACUAGAUUGAAAGCUAUUAUUAUAAGCAAAUUCAAUCAAAGGUAAGUAUCGUUCCCACGUACCUUCAAACUCGAGAAUGCAACAUCUCAACAUAUCCUCAAGUAUCUGAAUGAUUCGUUCAGAUUGACCAUCUGUCUGCGGAUGGAAAGCUGUGCUAAAAUGUAGUUUCGUACCUAAAGCUGUGCUAAAAUGCACACAAAAUAAACACACAAAAUAAUAUUAAUAAUAUUUUUCUAAUUCGGAUUUGUGGUCCCGAAACCACUAUUCCGAUUAGGGUCAAAAACCGGGUUGUUACAAUUCUGCUUCUUCUGCAUCAUCAUCUUUGGUAGCUCGAAAUUCUUCAGCCCCUUACUUCCUAAUCUUAUCAACAGGUGGUCUCUCACUGAUGACUAUACCUGCAGCUAGGGAAACUACAUGAGGAACCUGUGAAUCCUGAAGGGGUGGAGGUCUUACACCCGGAUUCAUACGAACGAACUCGGCAAACCAAUCAUUCAUGGCUUGGAAGAAGGCUUCUCUAGCUCCUCCUCCCUGUCUAACUGAUGCAGGUCUUUCACUAACGUUAACAUCUAGUGGCACCGUCCUUUCUGCGGAAGUAGGCGCAUUACUCUCUACUUCAUCUGCACCAGCUCGUUCAGGAUCCGUAACUAUAAAAUAAAAUAUUUUAAAAUCGUCAAGAGUCGUCACACUAUCAAAAUAUAUAAGUAUGGCAUGUAUAGGUAGACUUUUAUUCAUACUGCAUAUUUCUGAGAACCGAUUAAACCUGCUCUGAUACCAACAAAUGUAACACCCCUUACCCAAGACCAUUUUCGGAGUCGAGCACGAGGCAUUACUUAUCUUAUCUUACUAACUCGAAGCAUAAAAACUUAUUUUAAAAAUUAAUUUCACUAUUUACAGCAAUCUGUCCAAUCGAGCAGCAGUUACUAAAUUAAUAAUAACUCGAGCUACGGAACUUGAAAUUUAACUUCGUAAAUUUUCACUGAAACUAGACUCAUAUAUCUUCCUACCAUAAAGUUUUUAGGAUUUUUUGUUUAGCCAACUAGUACAGUUUAUUAGUCAAAUUCUCCCCUGUUUCACCAAUCGAUUGCCUUGACCUCUUAUCACUAAAAAUAAAAUUUCUCAAUGUGGGAUUUUCGUAUAGUGCUACUGCUUGCUUCUACAAAAAAUAGACUCAAUAAGGAAUCUAUAAAUAUAAACUACAGCUCCUAAAUAUUUUUUUAAAAAUUUUAAUGAUUUUCUAAACUCAAAAUAGGGGUCACCAAAAACUGUUCUAACCCUGUCUCACCAAAAUUCACAUAUCUUAAAAUAUAAAAUUCAUUUUGCUACACCGUUAUUUUUAUCUGAAAAUAGACUCAACAAGAUUUAAAUUCAUAUAUCAUUCACUCUUUAAUUCAUUUUAUACUAUCCUAGGUGAUAUUUCAAAGUCACGUCGUUGUUGCUGCCUGAAUUCUGUUUCUUUGCAAAAUUGUACCAUUUUAUGAUUUCCAUGCAUAGUUUAUCACUUACACUCUUAUAACAACAAACACUUCCAUACUUCACCAUUUUAGCAACCAUUCAUCAUCAACUACUUACAUAUCAUUCUUUAUCAAGAUCAUAAAUACAAACAUUUAAAAUAACUAAAUCCCUAUACAUUCCAUACUCAACAUGGUUCAACAUAAAAAUACCGAGUUGCUGUGGCUGAUAGUGUGGACGAUCUCCGACUUCUUUAGGAUCCUUGAAGUAACCUUGCAAUACUAUAAGAGAAAGAGAAAUAAAAGACGUAAGCAUAAAGCUUAGUAAGUUUACUAGCAAAUAAAUAACAAUAUUUAACUCAGAUAAUUAAACUCAAGUGUCUAUAUCUCUAGUUUACUCUUUAGUUAAUCCCAUUCUAGUUCUCUUGCUUGUUUACUUAGUAUACUUGUGUGCAUAACUUAAUCUUCUCUUGCUGUAUCGUUGAAUAUCAAUUGAUAAUAUAAUAAGUUCUUAACUCUUAUAACUUACCUGAACUUGCCAUUUAUGUUUUUAACUGAACUUUCCUGAACAUGAUUCGUUAUUUAGCCCGUUGAGCUACAUUGGAACAAUAAGGAUACUCGGGUCUCUUCUGAUAAUAACAUGCCAAAGCCAUGUCCCAGACAUGGUCUUACAUGGGAUGUACUCAUGUCGGUGCCCAUUCCAUGUCCCAGACAUGGUCUUACGGGGGACCUCUCAUCUCGGUGCCAAUGUCAUGUCUCAGACAUGGUCUUACAUGGGACCUCUCAUCUCGGUGCCAACACCAUGUCCCAGACAUUGUCUUACAUGGGACCUCUCAUUUCGGUGCCAACGCCAUGUCCCAGACAUGGUCUUACAUGGGACCUCUUUAUCCAAAUGUCAUGACAUUCGUAUCCAGUAUUAUCCUUAUGUAUCAACGGGACUUUUUAAUUUUAAUUCUCUAUCAUUUCAUGCUUGGAUAAUCAUCAAAUAAAUUCAUGAAAUAAAUUCAUAGUUGCUGGAAAAUAGCAGCAUUAAUAAAAAUUAUUGAAAUAUUUCAUUUAUUUACCGUAAACUUACCUUGGUACCGAAUAUAGCCCAAUUCACCAACUUAGUCUUCAACUUUAUUCUUUCCUUUGUCUAACCUCGAGUUUCAUUCUUCUUGAUCUAAAAUAGAAAAUUUAACUUAUUUAAUACUCACAUUCAUCAAAACAGCCCUCGACUCUAACUUUUCAAAAUUAUGAUUUUGCCCCUAAACUUUUACAUAAUUACAUUUUUCCCCAAGGCUCGAAAAUUCAACUUCAUCUCAUAUUCUUAUGUUUUAUGGCAUGCUGAAUAUUUUUCUCUUCUAUGACAAUAUCAAAUUCUCACUCUAACACUUACUUAUGUACAUUAGAGAUUUUUACCGAUUAUGUCAACUUACUCGUUUUUGCUUAAAAUCGGCUAACAAAAGUUGUUUAACAUAAUUUAUAGCUUCAUAUUCUAUCAUAAAACAUCAAAAUAAACACUUUUCACCUAUGGGUAUUUUUCCAAAUAUAAACCCUAGGUUAAAUUAUUGCUAGAAUAAGCUAAAUUAAGUUACCGGGACUCCAAAAACGUAAGGAACAUUAAAAACGGGGCUUGGGAUCACUUACUAUGGAGCUUGGAAGCUUGAAAACCCUAAAUAUGGCUUACCCCCUUGCUGAUUUCGUCCAAAUGAAGAAGAUGAGCAUAAUUUGUCAUCUUUUUCCCUUUUAAUUCAUUUUAAUUACUAGAUUACCAAAUUGCCCCUAACUUAAAAAUUUCCUAUUUCACUUAUCUCAUGUCCAUUUUUGUCUAAAAACUUAACCAAUGGUCUAAUUACCAUAUAAAGACCUCCAAUUUAAAGUUUCAUAACAAUUGGACACCUCUAACAUGUAGAACUCAACUUUUGCACUUUUUGCAAUUUAGUACUUUUGACUAAAUUGAGUGCCCAAACUUCAAAAUUUUCGAAUAAAAUUUUCAUGAAAUCAUUUUGUGAAAUCAUAGACCAUAAAAAUAUAAGAAAAAUAAAAUUUUCCUCAUCGGAUUUGUGAUCCCGAAACCACUGUUCCGAUAAUCUUAAAUUUGGGCCAUUACAUGAUCACCUUUUUACUAGCUCAUACAUCUCCUACAUCAGACCUUACAUGCAUGCUUACCAAACUUUAUUCUUUUUAACAAAACUUUAUACAUAUCAUCGUAGCACAUCUUUCAUCUUUACUAAACUCAUAUUUUUACCAAUUUCUGUAGACAUCAUCAUCAUCAUCCUAUAUAUAUGCUUCUUGUUUGAACAGUUCAUAUCAAAGAGUCAAGAUAGAGACCCACUUGACACUCACCUACUGCAGUUCAAAGCUCUAAACUUAACCAUCCUUCUCAAACCAGCAGUAAAAACUGCUUAUAGAACAUAGAAUCACCAUUAAAAACCCAUUUACAUACAAAUUACUAUCAUCUUAAUCACUUUUCCACUGUUAAUUUAUAAAUAAGUGUUAAGUAGUAAAUAAAUAAAAAAAUUAACUAAGUUUUCAAAAAAAAAGUCACUGUGACGAGAAGAAUGUUAAAAUUAAUUGGUGUUUGUUAACUCAUAUGUUUUUCUAAAAAUGGGUUAAGUUUUCUUCUGAAAUAAACAAAUGUUUUAAAAUGAUUGUUUUAUAAACUCCGAUCGUACUAUCCCAUCUUGGUGGCUGAUGUAAUAUCCCAAAUUCAGGUCUAACAUCUAAGUCGGGUUGGAUAGGUUACAAUAUAUAUAGAAAGAUUGAUAAAUAAUGCAAACUUGAAUACAAGCAAAGAAAGAAAUCAAUCAAUGUGAAUGACUAACAAGUUUAAAAUCAUAUAUUUGCAUUAUAUUUUGUAAAGCACAAGAUUGUCAUGGAAUUAGACAAUUUGUUUUGAUAAUGGUUAUAUUUUAUAUAGAUUUACUUUUAUGCACUUUCAUAUUGAGUUGAUCAAAAGUUUUGAAACUUUAUAGAAAAUUUGAAUGAAAGAGCAUAUUGAUAUAUAUGCUAUCUUGAGUGUUGAAUUAAGCAUUCUUUAGUAAAAGAGUGUACAUUUCGCACAUGGUAGGUGUGUUGGUUUCUUAUAUAUUAAUUAAGCACAAAUUAAAGAAAAAUAAUAUAUAUCACCAUAGUGUUGUAAUAUUUUGUAUAAUUUGUGAAAUUAUACAAGCAAAUAAGUUUACCUAUCUUGUUAAAUAAAACUCAUUAAGUUGGUUCUUAAUCUUGAAGAAUUAAAUAGGUUGGCUUCUUUAUUCAUUUUAUCCAACUACAAGUUAGAUUAAAGUUGUGGAAAUAGAAUGGUUGAAAAUUUGUGUUAAUGAGAAUUAGAGUUAUGGCCACAACUGAUGCCAACUAUUUCCUAAAAACAGGGAAUGAUGUCCAAAAACAUGCUGUAAAAUAAAAAUUUGGACAUGUUAGAAUAUGAAUUUAUUAUAUUAUAGUUUCAAUGUAAUACCCUUAUCCCAUCUCUGUUGCCGGAUUAGGAUUUCAGAGUAUUACUGAGAAAAAUAGAACAUUUAACUUUCCAACAGAAACAAUUGUACAAUUAAAUACCAACAUAUAACAAUUGAAUCUAAUCAUGGCAAAUAUUACACUUUUGGACCUUGAAUCGAGCCUAUGGGGCCCUAGAAACAGUUUAGGAACAAUCUGGGAUCAAAUCAAAACAAAUCAGAACAUUUUGAAAAAACAUAAAAAUUUAGGAAUACAGAGGUCACAGGCCAUAUGGCCAAGUCGUGUGACAUAGCCUAGAUUGUGUAAACAUCCGAAGUCAGGACACAUAGCUGUGUCCCAGCCUGUGUGUCUACUCAUGUGUAUAUUUGAAAUAGGGUCACACAGUCGUGUUGCAGACUGCCAAACGUGUGUGUAUUCAAAGUGAGGUCGCAAGACCAUGUGGCCGACCGUGCCACAAACUGUUUUGAGACACAAGGUCAUGUCUCAGACCGUGUAAAACAUGCACUUAAAAUAAUAAAUACACACGACCGUAUCUAGUGACUAUGUGUGGCACAUGGUCGUGUGGUAGCUUGUGUCUCAGGUCGUGUGCUCCAUUUUUAACCCCUAAAUCAAGCCAAUCAAGCAUCAUUUCUUAUACAACAAGACAUACCAUAUCUAACUAAUUUUACAUGGUUAAAAACACAUUCAAAUCAACAAAUACAUGCCAAAAUUUCGUUCAUCCUAUGUCUAACCAAUAUGCCAUCAAAAGGCACCUCAAUCCAUACAUCCAUUCAACUCAAGAACAAAGUUACAAUAAAUGAACAAGUUUUAUCAUUAGUUAACCAUUCAUGCCUAAAACCACUAAUCUAAUUGACCAAAAUAUGGGCAUACUCAACAAGCAACCAUUUCAAAACAUCAUCAUCAAAUCUUUAUAUACCAUUUAUGAUCAACUUAAUUAUAUUCAACACAAGUACACAUCCAAAAUCAAGCACAUCACUAAGUAUGCCAAAAUAACUUAACUAUUUACAUAUCAACAAUAAGACACCAUAUCCCAAAAUGAAAUAAAAAAGCUACCAAGAUGGUUGGAUAGUGUGUGCUCCAAAACAAUUCAUCCGGUUAGUCCACAAAACGCCAAAUCAACCAAUAUAGAUAAACAAAAAGGUAAGUUCUAAUUCUUGAUAUUCAAAUGCAAGAUCACACCACAUUAGUAUAUAUUUAUUUACAUCAUAAAUGAUACCUUCCAAAAUUCAUAACCAAUUCAUCAUCCACAAUUUCUCAAUACAACCAUUAAUAUUUAUAAACAAGAACUUCAUAGUAACAUUUAUCAUUUAGUAGUAAUAUAAUUAUCCAACAAAAUUGAACAAAUAAAUGCGUUUUAAGUCAUUUGAUACAUAGCCUGCUGAACUAUAGUAACUUGACUCGGAUACUCAUGAUACUACAUCACACCAAAGGUAUCAAUGAUGCAUAACAGAGGCACCGAAGUGCAGACAAAUGCAUGAAUGUGCAAUCAGAGGCACCGAAGUGAAAACAGAUGCACCAAAGUACAAACCCGUACGAGUGCGCAUUAAAACCCUAUUGGCAUGCUAAUCGUAUCCUAAUUGUUUACUACGUUCAACUGGGCAUUAUACUUAAAAUCAUAAUAUCAAUAAAUCCAUCAUUUAGAGGCACUUCUUAUUUCCGUACACAUACUAUAAAUAUGUAACUUUCAUUUCAAUAAUAUGCAAUAACAAUAAUUACCAUCAUCAAACAUUCAUUUUCUAUUUGUACUUAAUUGCAAAAUUUAAUAAUAUAUAAGUAACUCAUGAAAUUUCACAUAUAUACCAUUAACUAGAAAACAAUAAUAUAAUCAUAAAGUGACACACAUAUACAUAUUAUUACACUAUGAACUUACCUAAAAUCUACUUUCGAUUAAUACACAGGGACUACUCCGCUAUUUUUUCCCUUUUCUCGGUUAUUGUCUUUUUGACUCGGUUCUUGAUCUAUAUAGUAAUUAAAUUCAAUUUAUGAAAUUCACAUACAUUUAAAACUCAAUUCAAUGCAUGAUACCCUUAUGUUUUCAUUAUUUUCACAUUUUUCUUAAACUUUUACAUUUCUCACAAUUUAGUCCCUACAAAAUUUAACAAAAUUUUACAAUUUUCCAUGUUAGUUGAACUUCUUUCGAAACUAGUACAAUCCCUAAUUAUUCACAAUUCACAAAAUUUCUAUGCAAAUUUUAAUAAUUCACACAUUGAUCAUUAAACUCAAAAUUAACACAAAUUUUUUUACAAAAAUAUCCUAAUCAACAUUCAAAUAUGUACAACUACCAUUAAAAAUCAUGAACACCAAAAUUCCAUUACUAACCAAUCCCUAAAACUUUAACAUUUUUAUAAUUCCAUCCUCGGGUUUAAUAGUUUAAGUUACAACGAGUUCAAAAACGUAAAAAUUAUUAAAAACAGGUAAGAGAAACACUUACAUGCACCAAUUUGCUAACCGAAACUUCAAGCUCCAAAAAUGGAGUUUUUUUUUUCUUUUUCGGUGGGAGAGAGUUGAGAAGAUGAUGAUACCAUUUUUUUCUUUUGUUUCUUUUCUUUAAUCAAACUAAUUACUAAAUUAUCCUUUUAAUCUAAACUAAAUUAUUAACAUAGCAUGUCCGUAAUUAUCCAUUAACUAACCAUAAGGUUUAUCUAUCAACCAAGUCCAUUACUUUAGUUUUUCUUUAAAAAUCAAGCACAUUUAACAAAUAGAAGCCACUUUAGCAUCUUUUACAAUUUAGACCUUUUUACUAAAUUAACUAAACAGACAUUAAAAUUUCUUAGCCAAAUUUUAUUAUGACUCCAAUAUAACUCUAUAAGCAUAAAAUAAACAUAAAAUACUAACUCAUUUGUCGAAAUUGUGGUCCUGAAACCACCUUUUUUGAUACCACUGAAAAAUGAGAUAUUACAUUAAAUCUCUAAUUUAUGAUAAUGAAUGUGAGAGAAUAAUUUUCUUUGUUUAGAAAUACUAAUCAUUUUCUUUGUUUAGUAAUACUACAACUAGAAUGUGUUUCGACCCUAUUAUUAGAAACUAAUAAUGGAAACCCAACUUUUAAUUAGAAACCUCUAAUUUUAAAGUUUAAUAGGUAACACCCCGAAUUUUGGCCCUAGAAGAAAUAUGUUUUGAACAAGGGAACAGUUAGGAGACUGCACAUAAAUAUUUAGUUGUGCAAGGAAGUGACAUAAAUGAAUGUCUACUUCAGUGGUUGAGUGAUUUAGGAGUGUUUGGAACUGUCUGAGAAGUCAGGGAUUCAAGCAUUGCUUAUGCAAAAUUUUUAUUUUAAGUGAAUAAAAUCAUUGGAUCUAGAUAGUAAGUUCUUAAAUUAUUGUGGUUAAAAUAUGAUGCAAAAGAGUUGUUGGUCUAGUGGUAAGGGGUGUGUGGAGUGCACAUAGGGCCUAAGGUUCGAGUGGUGGCGCAUCAGAAAGGAAAUAUUUAUUUUGCUACUUGAGCUGUUUAGGUAGUGGAGUUGGACUGAAACACAACUAAGGGGAGUUUGCAUAGAAUUUGAAUGGAGUUGUUGGGGGAGUUGAGGAGAAACCGGUAGAAUAAUUUAAGGAGGGAUAAGGGGAGAGAUUUUAGGAGAAAAUCAAGGGAAGUGAGGGGAGUGAAGAAGUGUGCCGAAAGUGGACUUUGAUACUCAGGAAAUUUGGCCAGAAGGGAUACUGCUCAUUUUGGUAUACUUUUCAUUUCGGUUUUGUGUAGUGUUUCUCUCUCUUUUUGCUUUUUGGUGCCGAAUUUUUGCUAAGAUUUCGAGUACCACUCGGGUUUUUCUUUUGCUGCUUUUUUCUUUUAUCAUUUCUUUUGUUUUGGCCGAAUUUCUUUUUAGUUCCCUCCUUUGUCGAAUUCUUUUCUCUCUUCUCUUUGUUGCUUCUUUUCAUUUCUCUAUUUUUCCAAACCUUGACCGAACAGUGUUGAAGUAGUUCUGUGUUCCAUCUUUUGUCUAAAAUGCUCUUCUUCCUCUACUCCUUUUGAUCAACUAUUUGUCGAAUAUUGCCUUCUCUCCCCUUUUAUCUCUUUAAAUUUAUUUUCGGCUUGACAACAAUUCUCUAACAGUUCAAAUUUCUUGAGGAGUGAAAAAGUAUCGCAUAAUAUUAAAGUCAUCGAAACCUUUCUCUCAUCACUCGAUCAAAGGUAAGUAUGUAGGCUAGCAUUCUAAAGUGUAGGCUGAGUGCUUUCUAUGGUUUCAUAAGUUAUUAUGUUUGGAUUUAAACCACAUGAAUAAACAAUCCUAUUUAAUAAAAUCCGUUUGUAAUGCAGAUAUCCAUCAAAGAGAUUGUAGUCAACCUUCGUCAGUGAUAUAAGUAGGCUAAGUCACAUUUGACAAUCGAGGCUUUGGUGCUCGUGGAUCUUAGAGUGUUUUCACAAUCAGGUGUGUAAACACCCCACUGUAACCGUAGAACGACAAAAAGCUAAAAGGCCAAAAAUACGGUGUUUGAGACCACACAGGCGUGCGAUCUCUCAUGUGGUAAGCCCAACCCACAAAUCAUGGCCGAUAGACUGUAGAGGCCUCCAUGAACAUUUCCAUGGGCUUAGGCCGUAAUGGGCCACGUUGGGCCGAAAUGGGUCGUGUGGGUUCAAUAGGCUCGUGGGCACCAUACAGAUGAGAACCACGAUUUGUGAAAAAUACUGGACUGGGCUAUGAAGAUCUCAUAGCCGUGGAAAAAUCUGGGCUGAACAGGCCGCACAAGCGUGCGGGCCUACUUGGGCCGAGUAAUGGGCCUUAGGCCCAUUUGUACCAUUAUGACCAUUUAGGUUACCUGAGUCGCUCGAGGUAACUACGGACCUUUCGAGAGGUCGAUAUCUGCACCAAGACCCAAAAUAGGUAAAAUGAUCGAAAUACCCCUAUAGAGUAAAAUGACCGAAAUACCCCCAAAGGAUAAAAUGAUUGAAAUACCCCUAUAAGGUAAAACGAUCGAAAUACCCCCGUAGGAUAAAAUAACUAUUAUACCCCUAGAAGAUGAAAUGACUGUUAUGGCCUUAUGCUAUGUAUGACUGUUUUGCUCUAUGAUAUGUAUGACUAUGGUUGAGCAUGACAUUUUUCAUACACGUAUGAUAUUAUGUCAUGAUAUAUUGCAUGGGGAUGGAUUGUUAUAUUUGGAGGAAGUGUACUGUACUGACAAGGUUGCACGGGUCGCCCAAGACGACUGUGGACCUACUGAUGGCUAUAUGCCAUUUAUUUUACUGGCAGCUUUGCUGCAAUACUGUUUAAUGCUGCAACUGGUGCUAAUCUUGGUGUGUUUGGAUGGAUGGGUAGAUUUUAUCCCCCAUAUGGUGUGUUUGGCGGAACUGUAACACCCUUAACCUGAAUCCAUUCUGACAUUGUCUCACAAAAUUUAUUAUAUCUCAUAGUUUACAAUUUUAUUACUUACACCAUUUCUUCCAUGAGAAACUAGACUCAAUAAGUUUUAAUUCUAUAUUUUAUUCAUACUCUAAUUCGAUUUUCAUAAUUUAUGGUGAUUUUUCAAAGUGAGCCUACUGUUGUUGUCCAAAACUAUUUUAGUACAAGAUGUUUAUUACCAUGUUUAUAACACCCUUAUUUUCUUUCUCUACACUAUUUCUCAUCCCUUUCUCUUAUUUUCUCUUCACUUACAUAUUAAGAACAUAGGACCAUAUAUACAAAAAAACUUUACACUAACAUCAUUUCCAUACUUUUUCAAUAAUAUCAAACUUAAAAAUAUACUAAAAUCUUGAUGUACUUACCUUGUCAUAUUGAUUUUAAUCUUUAACUUGAUUUUCUCUCUCCUCCAGCUUCUAUUUCUUGAAUCUAACUUGAUAUUAUAGCUCCCCAUAGUCUCCUUGUAAUCUUUCUCUCUUGAUGGAUAUGGAAAUUCUUUUGAUUUCUAGAUGAAAAUAGUGAAUUUUUGGUGAAAGGACUAAAUUGUAAAGAAAGCAAAACUUUCUUUCUUCUCUUCUCCUCUUAACGUGAAUUGCAUGGAAAAGAUGGUGGGUUGGUUCCUUUUCAUCUUUCUUUCCACAUAUAUAUACUAAAUAAUAAAAUAAUAAAAUAUCAUUUAAAAAUCAAAUUAAAAUACUAAUAAACUAAUAUUUAUUUGUUUAUUUAAUCUAAAAUAUCUCCAACAUCAUCAUUAUCUUCUAGAUUUCUCUCUCUUCUAAUUGACCAUUUUGCCCUUCAUGAUAUUUUAAAAUUCCAUCCUUGAGUCAUCACUUAAUUUCGUAAAAUUUCAAUUUAGUCCCUCAAAAUUCCUCACCUUUUUUCAAUUUAGUCCUAAUACAUCCAUUUUCCUUAGUUUCUAGAUCAUUCCACCCUUAAAAUAUUUACACCAUUGGUCCUUCAAUUUUUUCAUAUUUACACUUUAACCCCUCAAUUUUUGAGUAUUUACUCUUGGGCAACAAAAUUUUUACGAUUUAAUCCUUUCUUGAGGUAAUAUGUCAUAAUAUACUUCCCAAUGUUGACAUAACUCCAAAAUUCCCUUUUUUGUCGCUUUAUUUCCUUAUUUUUUUAUAUCAAAGAUAAUAUCUUACUGUAAAAAUUUUUUUGGGGGGUAUUACAUUUCUCUCCCCCUCAAAAUAAAUUUCGUCCUCGAAAUUUCCUUAUUUUCUUUUGAUCAUGAACUUAUUUUUUCUUUAAUUCUAUAGUUCAUUUUUUUUGCAUAUAUUUACUUAGCUUAUCAUUUGUGUCUAUUCUUUAUUCUUUCAUUUCACAAUUUAUUUUUAAUUUAAUAUUUCAAACAUGAAUCAGAGAUAAACUUUUACCUUGUAACUAAAAUUAUUUACCUUUUUACCUGAGGCCCAGUGGACUAAAUAGAACACGUAGGAUAUAUGAAAUUGAUACAGAAGUGCUCUGUUAUACAUCAUUAAACAGAGAGCACUAAAGUGUUAUACGGGAGCAUAAAUGUGCUAAUAAUUGGAGAGCACUAGCGUGCUAUUAAUCAGAGAGUGCGCUAAGGUUCCUUAAUGAUAUACUACUAAUAUCCUAAUAGUUCUAAUCUCAUCUACUUGGGCAAAUUAUAUCAUGCAUGCAUACGACUUUUACACUUUGCGCAUAAUGCUUUUACAUACUUUACAAUUUAAACCUUGUACCAAUGAUUCGUAUAUUUAUACCUUCUCUACCUUUAAUACAUGUAAUAUAUUUCAAAAUUCACUAAUAAUCCAUAUAUAUCAUGUACUUCAUAUAUCAUUUUUACAUAUUAUGCAAUUUAGUCAUCAGCGCAAUAUUUCUUGUAGCAAUAUGUUUUUCUUUUAAUGACACAUAUAACAUUCAUCAUCGACAUGUAUUAUAAAACAUUUAUUCAUACUUUCAUGAGUUCCAAUUCAUCCUAAUCAAUUUUUUUUACUCAUAUACUUGAGUAUCACUUUCAACAUUAUCAGAAUUAGCUCGGUUAGGAAAACAUCUCUGUUUAUAAGUAAAACAAUUCUCAUCAGACUCGAGAGAUAUCACACUAUCACAGGUUACAUAAUGGCAUGCAUUUCUAGACUUCACAUAAGCUACGUUUGGUCCAAGAACCGACUAAAUCGUAGCUCUGAUACCAAUAAAUGUAACACUCUUAACCCGAAUCCAUUCUGACAUUGUCUCACAAAAUUUAUUAUAUCUCAUAGUUUACAAUUCUAUUACUUACACCAUUUCUUCCAUGAGAAACUAGACUCAAUAAGCUUUAAUUCUAUAUUUUAUUCAUACUCUAAUUCGAUUUUCAUAAUUUAUGGUGAUUUUUCAAAGUGAGCCUACUGUUGCUGUCCAAAACUAUUUUAGUACAAGAUGUUUAUUACCAUGUUUAUAACACCCUUAUUUUCUUUCGCUACACUAUUUCUCAUCCCUUUCUCUUAUUUUCUGUUCACUAACGUAUUAAGAACAUAGGACCAUAUAUACAAAAACUUUACAUUAACAUCAUUUCCAUACUUUUUCAAUAAUAUCAAACUUAAAAAUAUACUAAAAUCUUGAUGUACUUACCUUGUCAUAUUGAUUUCAAUCUUUAACUUGAUUUUCUCUCUCCUCCAGCUUCUAUUUCUUGAAUCUAACUUGAUAUUAUAGCUCCCCAUAGUCUCCUUGUAAUCUUUCUCUCUUGAUGGAUAUGGAAAUUCUUUUGAUUUCUAGAUGAAAAUAGUGAAUUUUUGGUGGAAGGACUAAAUUGUAAAGAAAGCAAAACUUUCUUUCUUUUCUCCUCUUAACGUGAAUUGCAUGGAAAAGAUGGUAGGUUGGUUCCUUUUCAUCUUUCUUUCCACAUAUAUAUACUAAAUAAUAAAAUAAUAAAAUAUCAUUUAAAAAUCAAAUUAAAAUACUAAUAAACUAAUAUUUAUUUAUUUAUUUAAUCUAAAAUAUCUCCAACAUCAUCAUUAUCUUCUAGAUUUCUCUCUCUUCUAAUUGACCAUUUUGCCCUUCAUGAUAUUUUAAAAUUCCAUCCUUGAGUCAUCACUUAAUUUCGUAAAAUUGCAAUUUAGUCCCUCAAAAUUCUUCACCUUUUUUCAAUUUAGUCCUAAUACAUCCAUUUUCCUUAGUUUCUAUAUCAUCCCACCCUUAAAGUAUUUACACCAUUGGUCCUUCAACUUUUUCAUAUUUACACUUUAACCCCUCAAUUUUUGAGUAUUUACUCUUGGGCAACAAAAUUUUUACGAUUUAAUCAUUUCUUGAGGUAAUAUGUCAUAAUAUACUUCCCAAUGUUGACAUAACUCCAAAAUUUCCCUUUUUGUCGCUUUAUUUCCUUAUUUUUUUAUAUCAAAGAUAAUAUCUUAGUGUAAAAAAAAAUUUUUUGGGUAUUACAGGAACAGAGUGGUGUGUAGAGGCUGGAUUGGGUAGGAUUUCUAACUGCAUAUCUACACUAAUUAAUGAUUUUGUAUUGUUACUACAUCGAUUAAUGAUAUUACAUACUGUUUACUGCAUGACUGAUAUUUGUUGCUGUUAUGGGCCAAGGCCCCACUGAUACUAUUACUGAAAUUGGGCAAAUGCCCUAUUGAUUAUUGGUAUUGUGAUGGGCUCAAGCCCAAUCGUUUAAUGUUACGGGAAAGGGCUUAGGCCCACACUGAACUGGACUGUUACUAUAACAGGCUCAGGCCCAAACUGUAUUUAUCUAUUGUUUAAUUGACUACUUACUUGUUAGGGGAUUGCACACUGAGUUUUCGUAAACUCAACCCGUUGUUUAACUGUACAGGUAAUCCCUAGUUGUAGUAGGGUCAGUGCUGCGAGGGACUCGAUGAUGGCCACACAACUGCAUCAGCUUUUGUUUUUAGCCUUUGAUUUAUAAGAAACUGAAUUUGGGUAUUUUUAUGUAAAAAGGCCUCUUUAAAGUUAUAAACUUUAAAUUGGGGUUUUUAUUUAUUUAGUUUGAUAUAAACUACUAGUUGUAGAAAAAGACGGGUUUUCAAAAGGUAAAUGUUUUCAAAGUUUCAAAAGGUAAAUGUUUUCAAAGACACCACGUUUUCGCAACAUUUCUAAAAAAAAACUUCCGCAAUGAAUGAGAUUUUGGAAAAUUUAUAACGUUUUAAAAGUGAUUAGCUUUUAAUGAUGCAUGCUUGGAAAUGAACAACCCGUUUUGGAAUCAUAGUUUAACAGCAAAAUGAUUAAUUGAUUUUAAAGAUUUCAACGACAACAAGUUUUACGCUAAACACCUUAAAGUGACACCGCCAGAUUCAACCAUAACUCCUAGGCCGGGUUUGGGGUGUUACAAUGUGUUUCAACCCUAUUAUUAGAAACUGAUACCCUAUUAUUAGAAACUGAUAAUGGAAACACAACUUUUAAUUAGAAACCUCUAAUUUUAAAAUUCAAUAGGUAAAAGCAAGUUAUCGUUAAGUGCCUGUGAUACGCUAGUAAAACUCAUUCUAGAAAAAAAAGUUUAAUGGAAACAAUUGUUAUCCAUUGCGUAUAGAGGAUGAAUUUGAAUACUAUUAAUUAAGUUCAUUGUUUAUUGUUUAAAUGUCUAAAGUAAGGGAGACAUUAAAAGAACUCUACCUUUAUAAACAUAAGAAGUGGUGCCACUUCAACAAGUAAAGGUAGGGUCUCUCUUGUAAAUGUUUAUUAUGAACAAGAUAAGCACAUGAUCAUUUUAGUGCUAAAAGUGAACAACCUCUGAUAGAAAUAUAAACGAAUAUUAUGUAUAGUGUAUUUCAACUUCUAAUACUAGGAGUUGUGGUUCAAUCUUCGGACACCGACAACUUAUUAAAACUUUGAAAAGCAUCCGCUUAUUGAUGGUUCAUAUUGAGAGGUAUCAUCUUUAAUGCAUAAUAUUUGUUUGAGUGAAUGACCAUAAAGUAUGGUACCAACAUUUAAACUAAGGGUGAUUGUUAGUAGUUUAUAAUUUUGGCAGUAAAAAUAUUUUAUUAUGUAGAAAAGUCUAAUAAAUUAUAAUUAUUGGUCAAAUAGUUGUGUUGUAAAGACAAUUUUUGUAUGUAAAGUUGUCUUAUAAACUUUAUGUAAAGUUGUGUUGUAAAACAACAAAAUUAUAUGAAAAUGUAUCUUAUUAAAAGAUACAUCCAUAUGAAAGGGUAUCUCAUGAAAAGAUACACCUAUUAGAUGUCUAUAUAAAAGAUUUUUCUGUUAGUUAUUUAAAUUGUUUUGCUUGGAGUGUUGAGGGCUUUGUUGUAUCUUGAAGGUAUUUUAAAAUCUUAAAGAAAGUGCUCUACACACCUUAAAGUCAUUAUAUUUUAUAACAUUAUUUUAUUUUUCUAACUUUUAUUUUCCUAUUAUUUAUUUUUCUAACAGCUAGAAUAUAGGAAAAUUAUUAUGUUUCUAGCUAUAUAUUGAAUACAAGUAUGUUGGUGUUUAGAACUCGAACUUUGAUGGUUGAUCGAGAGAUUUGAAGCAGAAAGAAGAGACGGGAAGUUUUAAGUAGAAAAAUAAUUGAAGACUGGAAUAUAUAAUUGAUUUGCACCUCAACUAUUUAAAUACAAAAGUUCAAGCUAAAAAUAGAAAAAAAAAGUUCUAAAAAUCUGCUAAAAAUCUGGUAACAAAAUAGCAAACAAAUCAAAAAUCUAAUCUCCUAAAGUCAAGGAGAAUUAUUCAAACUUAGUAACAGAAAAAAUUUAAAUGGCAGCAAUCUUAAACACAUGAUCUUAACACUCCUCCUUGUUUAGAUGCUACAAACUCCAAGUUUCUUCCUGAAGCUUUCAAACUUGCUAAGUGGCAAUGGUUUGGUGAAGAUAUCUGCAAUUUGAUCUUCAGAUUUGUAGUAACAAAGAGACACAUCACCACUCUUUUAAACUUCUCGAACAAAAAAUAACUUGAUGUUAAAAUGCUUAGUCUUCCCAUGAAAGACUGGAUUGUUAGAGAUUGCAAUGGCAGCCUGGUUAUCAACUAGAAUCUUUGUGCUUUGCUUCUACUCCAUGUUUAGAUCAACAAGAAUCUUCCUUAACCAGAGAGCUUGGUUAACUGUUGCUGUUGCAGCCAUAAAUUCUGCCUCAACAGUGGAUUGAGCUACAGUUUCUUGCUUCUUCGAGCUCCAAGAGAACAUGCCUGAUCCAAGGCAAAAACAAUAACCAGAGGUACUCUUCAUAUCAUCAGUUAAGCCACCCCAAUCACUGUUAGAGAAACCAAUCAACUUCAAUUCCCUAUGCUUUAAAAACUUUACUCCAUAAUUCCAGGUCCCCUUGAUGUAUCUGAUAACUCUUUUUGCAGCUCUCAUGUGAGUCUCAUUGGGACAAUGCAUGAAUCUGGAGAGAAUACUUACAGCAUUCAAGAUGUCGAGUCUGGUUGUUGUUAAGUACAUUAGACAACCUACCAAACUCCUGAACUCAGCUUCAAUGACUUUGGCAGAACCAUCAUCUUUGAUUAGCUUCUCUUUUUGAUUCAUAGGAGUACUCAUUGCUUUGCAAUCUUCCAUAUGGAAUUUUCUAAGUAUCUCCUUUGCAUACUUUCUUUGACAGAUGAACACUUCAUCUUGGCUUUAUUUGAUCUCAAUGCCAAGGAAAUAAGACAUCAGAUCAAGGUCUGUCAUUUCGAAGACAUUAUGCAUUUCCAAUUUAAACUGAUUAACUUGAUCGAUAUUGCUCCUUGUAAUCAAUAAGUACAAAUAAGCAAGCUUUUUCCUUUGAUUUCCUUAUCUUCUUUUCUUUUUGUGCUUUAAUCUGUGCCACAGUAGGAUUUGCUGGAAGAGGUGGGACCUCGUAAUCCUCUUCUACAGGUUCCCAAAGAUCCAAAGCCUCUAUGUAAGUCUCCAUGCGAACUGCCUACAUCUGGUAAUUGUCUCCAUCGAAGACUGGUGGUGCAGCAACUGAAAAACUGGACCCUCCUUCCAUAUUAACACGCAAAUAACCUAACAAAUCCCUCAAGAAAAUAGCUCUGAUACCAAUUUGUUGGUGUUUAGAACUCGAACUUUGAUGGUUGAUCGAGAGAUUUGAAGCAGAAAGAAGAGACGGGAAGUUUUAAGUAGAAAAAUAAUUGAAGACUGGAAUAUAUAAUUGAUUUGCACCUCAACUAUUUAAAUACAAAAGUUCAAGCUAAAAAUAGAAAAAAAAUGUUUUAAAAAUCUGCUAAAAAUCUGGUAACAAAAUAGCAAACAAAUAAAAAAUCUAAUCUCCUAAAAUCAAGAAGAAUUAUUCAAACUUAGUAACAGAAAAAAUUUAAAUGGCAGCAAUCUUAAACCCAUGAUCUUAACAAAGUACUACUUGGAAGCCAACACCCACAAACAUGAUAAAAGUUAAUUUUGAUGAGAGUUUUGACAUGGAAGCAAGAAAUGAGGAAGAGGGUAGUUAUGCAGCAUUGUGAUGAUUUUUUAGUCUGACUAUGCAACCAUCCAAUUUAGGGUGCAUUCUCCAUUGUGGUGAAAAAGCACUUAAAGAACAUUUGGUUUUUGCACUUAAAAUGUGAUGGAAAAAUGUUUUUCCACCCAAAUACAAAAACUAGGAUAUAAAUGUUUUUGACUUUUAGCUUUUAUGUUUGGAAGUGAAAAUUAUCAAAAUAUCAUUAUUUAUAUUAACUAUUUAAAUGGUAUAUAAAAAUUAGAUUAAUUUAUAUUUUAUAUAUCAUUAUAUUAAAUUAUUUAAAUAUUAUUUAUUAUUAUAUAUUUUAAUAAUUUAUAUAUCAUCUAUUUUACAAAUAAUUUAUAUUAAUUACUUAAAAAAUAUUUGGAACUUAUAUUUCAUGUAUCAUUAUAUUAAAUUAUUUAAAUAUCACAUAAUUUAACUAAUUUUUUACUUUCCACUAUCAUGUCUAAAGAAAAGGAUAUUUUAACUUUUAACAAGAAUUUUUUGUAGCAAUGGAGAACACCAAAAAUUAAUAAACACACUUUUUCAUAGUAAUUUUCAACCACACUUUUCAACCGCAACCCUAAUGAAGAAUUAAUCCUUACUAAAGUUACCGAAGCACUAGCUUCCACCGUAGCCAUUGAAAUGGCGCUCCAAUUGGGAUUGCAACACAUUAUUAUUAAAGGAGAUGCUCUCCAAGUGGUUUCGGAGUUGAAGGAAGACAAAGGAGACCUACCAACAACCGGACCUUGAUAGCAAAGAGUUGAAUACUUGCUAAACAGGUUCAGCAAUGUAGGUUUCAACACAGGAAGAGGCAUGCUAAUGAGGUGGCACAUCAUCUGACCAAACAGGGCCUUAAUUGUUUUCCAUCUUUUGUUCAUAUGUUUGUUUUGAAAAGGUAAAACAAAUCCUCACCUAUUGAUGUUAGAACGGUUGAAUUGCUAAAAGCAUGCUGCAUGCAUAACCAUGCUUUAGGUUAGGCUUCAAAUUAAAUAAAUUUUAAAUUAUUUUUAUUUAAAUUUAAUUAUAAAAAUAAAUUAAUAUCAAUAGAAAAUUAUAUAAAAUUUUAAGAUAUUUUAUUUUUCAAUAAUAAAACGAAUCAUUCACCAAACCUAAUUCUUCAAUUUCUUUUUAAUUAGAUCACAACUCAAGCCAAGCUAACCAAUAAACACCCAAAAUCUACCAUCAUUUUCAUUUUCAUUUUUUUUUCUUUUGUGACAAAGUAGACAGAAGAUUCGGUUUGGAUAAGCUCUACGUUAUUAAGUCAAAAGCUGAAGUAAUUUUAAUCAUAAAUUGUUUUAUUUGUCUAUAAUGCAAAACAAUGACCCAGUUAGUACAAUAAAGCUUUAACUUUGUGGAACAUUUCAGUCCAAAAAAAAAAAAAAAAAGAAUUGUGGAAAUUUUAGAGCAGUUGACCAUUUCUUCGGAAUUAGUUUUCUCACUUCUUGUCCAUAUUCCAUGUAUAUUAUUUCAAGAAAUUAGGUUUAGAAAUUUGCAUAAUUCAACCAUUGAACUAAUAAAUAUUAAACAAAAAUUGGGUGGCAAAAAAAAUCUUAUUAAAAUCAUAUACUAUUACUAAAAUUUAUGAUUAAAUUAGUGUCACGAGUUAACGGGACAUUAACAAAUUAUAUUAUUUGAGGGUAUUUUAAUCUUUUUAUUAAAAAAGAUGAUGUCUCAAAUUAACUCACAAUCUAAUCUAAUUUUUCAUUUUAAUAUUGUAAAUAUUUCAUGUUUUAUUAUUAAUUUGUUUCAAAUUAUACAUUUCAUUAUUUAUUUUAUGUUAUUUUUAAACACAUCUGUAUUCUAAGUACCUAAUUUUCACUUAUGGGUAUCAGAGGCGAAUCUAGGGAGGCUGAUAGGGGUCUCGGUCCCCUUAAAAUAGAAAAUUAUUAUUUAAGCCAUUUAGAAAAUUUUAAAAUUUUAAAUUAGUAAAUGUAAAAUUACACUUUGACCCCUCUAAAAUUAUAAAAAUUUGAUUUAAUCCUUUAAAAAUUAUAAAGAUAUAAACUAUUAAAAAUAAAAAUUUCAUUUCGGCCCUGCCUAAAAAAUUUUUUUGACUUCACCCCUAAAGUAUGAUAGAGUUUCUAGUAUGAAUAAUUUUCUUUGGAAGUGUUAAACAAACAAAGGAGUUAAGUAAACAGUAGUUUUCAUACAGAAAUAUUCGGCGUUGAUGUUUCCCUUUCGAAUAAUUAAAUUAAGACUUAGGAAAAGGGAAAACAAUGAAAAAGAAACUAAAAUUGAGCUUAAUUUAUGGAGUUGGGUUAAAAUUUUAAUAUUUAAAUAUAAAAAUUCUAAUAAUUUGAUCUGGUCCGUUUCAUCUAGCAGACUAAUAAUAAAUCUUAAAACAUAUUAUAUUUUAAUUUAAAUAAAACCAAAACUAAUACACUUGACCUACAUCUACAUGUGAUCUAUGCUUCAUUUAAAUUAGUCUAAAUUAGACGAGAUCUUGAUUAGGAGUCAUUUAUUUAUAUUAUAAGUCCCUGAAACAUGCAAAACUUACAUUUAAAAAUUAAUAUUUUUACGUUGUUGUUAGAAUAUAGGGUUUGUUAAUGUUUUCGUGUGAAGUCAGCUGUUGACAUUACCAAUCAGAUAAUGAAAAGGAAACAUGGCAAUUAUUCCAUCCUAAUUGUCACCAAAUUAAGUUAAUCCAAAAAUUACCAAACGUUUAGUACUUCAAUGGUAGAGUCAGCUCUUUCUUCUAGUCUAUCAAAAAAAGUCAAUUUAACCCCUAACUCUUGGAUGGAAAAGUUUUUGCUAUGAACUUGUUGAAGUGAAUCUCAUGUGAUAUAAACGCAUCGCAAUCUCCGUGUGUAACUAAAAAUAUUUGAGAGAUUGAAUAAUUUAAAGGGGAAAAAAAAAGAAUUUACUCCCUCCACUAACAAAUUACUCUUGCCAACGUAUGUAUGAAAGUAAACACCUUUAAUUAAUCAACAAAUGCUAAAGUUCGAGGUUUAGAAUUAAUUAAAUACCAAUAUAAAUAGUUAAUUACUUUUUUGAAAUAAGGAUAAAUCAGUUUGUGAGGUUUGAAUUUUUUGUAUCUUAACAAUUGUUCUGACUUUAGAGUUUGAAGGUUUUUUUUUUAUCCAAAUUAACCUAUGAACUUAGUAAUUUGUCUCUCAUUAAGGUUUAAAUUUUUUAUUUAUCUAAGUUAAUUCUUAAAAAUCUUGAAAUUCGAGAAUAAUUGUCAAGUUAAAAAAAUUUAGAUUUCAAUAUGAGAAUAAUCUACUAGUUCGUAACCUUAAUAUAAAAACAAUUGUUAAGUUGAAAACUUAAUUUAAAAACAAAUUCAAACCCUUCUUAAGUUUACGAUUUAACCCUUUGAAAUAUUGCGUUAACUAGUAAGAGUAAGAAUUAUUUUGUGUUGAUGAUUAAAUAAAUAUUUAAGUGGAGAUCAAGUUUUACCUCAUUUGUCAAUUGUCAGGUGAAGAAUAUAUACCCCUAAAGGCCUAUCAAAAACGGACCUAUCUCUAUCUAUAUAUCUUAACUAAUUUACUAUUCAUUUUUAAUGAAAAUCAAUAAAUCAAUGAAAACGUUAUAAAAAGAAAACUACGUGAAUAAAUUAUAUGUGUAAAAUUGAAAUAUUUCUUAUUUUAGUACAAUGGUAAGGAACAUUACAUUUUUAAGGAAAUGAUGUCAGGUUCAAACCUUAAAGAUAAUAUUCUUCUUCUUGAGAAGAACAAUCCCAAACUCCAAAAUGAACCCUUAUGAAUUAUAUAAAAAAAUUUUGAAAUAUUUCUAUAAAAUAUCAUUAAAGUUUUUUAUUUAAAAAAUGUUAUGGGUAUACUUUUACCUCUUGUAAAAAAGUCUUUCAUUUCUCAAUUCUUAUGGCAUAGUAAAUUUAUCAUUAAUUUUCAUCUUUAGGUAAAAAAAAUGGUUAUUAUUUGUGUAUUAAAUAAUUGUUAGGAUAAAUUUUAAAAUUGUAUAUGAAUUUUGGUUUAAUGUUAAUUAUAUACAUUAAUUUUAAUUUUAUGUAAUUUUAUAAAUGAAAUUUUAAUUUGAUCCAAUUCUAACAAAUUAUUAACACAGUUAUUGAUAUAACAUCAUUUUAUGUUUAUAUGCUAUAUACAGAAAUAAUUAUGUUUAUUCAAUAUAAAAAUAAAUUGAUGUAUUUAUUUCUUUAAACAUAUAUGAUUGAAUCAAAAUUAAAACAUCGUGUAUAUAUUUGAACCACAAUUAAAAUUUUACAUAUAAAAUUACAUAAAAUUACAAUUUAUAUACGUAAUAAACUAAAAUUCAUAUAUAAUUUUAAGAUUUAUGUCCACAAUUCUCUAAAGCUAAACGGUGAUGAUUACCAUGGAAAUUCAAUGUACUUAACUAAUUGGUUGAUAGGAACAGGCAUGAUGAAAUCCAUGAUGGGAAGAGAGAGAAUUCAAAAACUGGAAUGCCCCCAUUAAUCCAUGCAAAUAAACUUUUUCGGUAUUACAUCAUAAUUCAUUUAAUUUUAUCAUCAUCUCUAUGCCAUAACCAUGUUUAAAGUAAAAUACUUAUAUAAAUUGAGACAUUAAUAGUUUGUAUUAUAUAAAUUAUGACAUCCAUAUAUCCAUAUUAUAAUUUUUAUGAAAAAUUAGAGCUGGCAGAUAAAAAAUGGCUUACUGAUCAAUGAAAAAUAAACUUUAUUUCUUGUAAAUUGACUUAUCCUUUUAAAAAGUAUAAAUAUUUUUUUAAAAUUCAUUUAUGAGUAAUUUUAUUAUUAUAAAAAUUAAUUUUGCAAAGUCUAAUAUUAUUAUAUUAAUAAUUUUAUUUUAAAACUAUUUAAAAAUACUAAUAUCAAAUAUUAUAAUGUUGAAUCCUAGUAACAUACAUAUUAAAUUAUUUAAAUUAUGUAAUAUUGCAAUUUUAUUUUAAUACUAAAUUUUAACAACAAUAAUUUUAAAUUUUAGAUCAUAUUUUUAAUAUAUUAUUGAAAAAUAUUUAUAUUAAUAUUUUAAUAAUAAAUAUAUAUAUUAAAAUUUAUAAAUAUUUAAUAAUAAAUGUUUUAUAGUAUAAAAUAUGAAUAUUUUAAUUAUAUAGAUAUGAGCAUUUGUUUAAAUCAUGUUUAGUUUCAUUUAUCUCCCAACUAUAAUGUGUUAUUAUACACCGUCAUAUAUAUAAUAUAUGUAAUUUAAGCAUUGUUUAUUAUUAAAUUUAUAUAUGAUAUUAAUUAUUAUAAAAUAUUAUCUUAUUAUAAAAGAAAUUCUAAUUAUCAAAAAGAAAUGUUACUUUAAUAUUUUGUAACAAGUAUAUUUAUGUUGGGCUUGUUUCAAUAAUAACUUUAAAAUGAUUUUAGAAAAAAAAUUGUCAAAUAAUAAAAAAAUAUUUUAAGCAAAAUAAUUCAAACACAAAAAACUAUCAACUUUUCCAUAAAAUCAAUCCAAUUUUAAGAAAACAUUUUGUGAAAAUUGUUUUAGGUAAAACAAAAGGAACCUAUAUUUUAUAUAGUAUUUGAAAAGUUGUUGUAUCUAGAAUUAUUAUCUUAAAUAUUUUUUUAGGUCUAAUUUUAAAUUUCAUCCCUUUAUGAAAAUUGAGAAGUUAAAUUUUCUAUUUUACUUUAUCAGUCUGUGCUUGAUUGUUUAUUAAUUUGUCGUGUAUAAAUGGUUAAAUUAUUGAUUUUUGUUAAUUACUAGCAUGUAAAUUGUCAAACUACUUGUUCUCAAGGGAACGGUAAAGUUUAAUAGUAUUAUCAAUUUAGAACAAUUUUUGAGUUUUUUCUUUUAUUUUUCAUGUUCGAGUCCAUAAUUACUCCUUCUAAUAAUGUCGUCUUUAAAGUUUGAGUUCGAAUUCAAAUUCUCUUUUUGGAAGUACAAUAUGCCUUAUAAUUAUACCUAAUACUUUUGAUUUUUGUAAAAUAUAAGAAUCAAAAUUGUGUAGUAGGAUUAAUUUCUAGAUUUUUUAAAUUUAAAAUUUAUAAUAUUAUCAAUCGCAUCACACACAAAACCAAAGAACAAGAGAAUCUAAAAAACACGUGGACCAUUAAUUUAGGAAUGGACAUUAUAUUUUAUUAGUGGAAUAAACUCAUGCAAAAUGGUUGGAAAACACAUACAGGAUUAUAUAUACUAAUCAUUUUUAUUAUUAAGCAGAAUCGGAAAUAAAUAAAUACGAGCGAAACCACUGAAUAAUACAGCAUUGAAAUGCAAUUUGUCUACAUCAUUAUUGUUCUUCACUUCAAACGCGGAGACUAGUCUAGGCUCCCAAUCUUUUGCUUUAUCUCUCUAGAUAUAUCCUUUUCAAACUAUCUUUUUGUAGCUUUAUUUGCAUCACAGCAUUAUCUUUUCCUGCAAACAACUGUUCAAUGAUUAAAACAUGCAAAACAUUCUGAAAUAAUGCACCCUUACCAGAUGACAAAAAAAAAAAAAGAUUCUAAUGUAUCUUACCUUGGAUUGGAGCACGGUCAAAGCCGUGGCUUAGUAGUGGUGAGGAGGAGGGGGUGAAGCGUAGACAUAAUGGGGUGGUGGUGGUGGAGGAGACUUGUAUUUGUAAACUGGAGGAGGAGGUGGUGGAGACUUGUACUUGUAAGGGUGCUUGGGGGGUGAUGGUGGGGGUGGUGGGGGUGACUUGUACUUGUAGGGGUGCUUGGGUGGUGACGGUGGGGGUGGGGACUUGUACUUGUAAGGAUGCUUGGGGGGUGAUGGUGGUGGUGGUGGAGGUGACUUGUACUUGUAGGGGUGCUUGGGUGGUGACGGUGGGGGUGGGGACUUGUACUUGUAAGGGUGCUUGGGUGGUGACGGUGGUGGUGGUGGGGGGGACUUGUACUUGUAGGGAUGCUUUGGUGGGGAUGGUGGUGGUGGUGGUGGGGACUUGUACUUGUAGGGAUGCUUAGGUGGUGAUGGUGGUGGUGGUGGAGACUUGUAUUUGUAAGGAUGCUUUGGUGGUGAUGGUGGUGGAGGUGGUGGGGACUUGUACUUGUAAGGGUGCUUGGGUGGUGAUGGAGGUGGAGGUGGUGGAGACUUAUACUUGUAAACUGGAGGUGGUGGGGGUGGAGACUUGUACUUGUAAGGGUGCUUGGGUGGUGACGGAGGUGGAGGUGGUGGAGACUUAUACUUGUAAACUGGAGGUGGUGGGGGUGGAGACUUGUACUUGUAAGGGUGCUUGGGUGGUGAUGGUGGGGGUGGGGGUGGCGACUUGUACUUGUAGGGGUGUUUAGGUGGUGAUGGUGGUGGUGGUGGUGGUGGUGGGGACUUGUACUUGUAAGGAUGCUUGGGUGGUGAUGGUGGUGGAGGAGACUUGUACUUGUAAGGAUGCUUGGGUGGUGAUGGUGGUGGAGGUGGUGGAGACUUAUACUUGUAAACAGGAGUUGGUGGGGGAGGAGAUUUGUACUUGUAAGGUUUCUUGUGUGGUGGUG
rnacentral:lncRNA from 1 species